AAUAACUAUACAAAUUAAUAAUCGUUUUGAUAGACCGACCGUCCCUAAAGCAAGUGGCAAAAGACUUGGUGGUUGUAACCGAAGUCACCAUCUCCUCAAGGUACGGUGUUUCCAAUUUUGAAACGAUUUUGGCAUUUUUUUUUUUUUAAUUUGUGGGCUUUCGGUUUCUAAGCUUUUAAUGCCCCCGCAUUACUGAAUUUUCCAGUUAAUUUGUGUUUAUUUUUCUAAUUUUAUCAAAAUCUAGCAGAAAAAUUUUGUUCUUCAGUUUAGUAACUCAGAUUUGCUUCUGUAAUCAGUUGUAAAAAUUGUUGCUUUUUGUUGCCACUUUGACGAGAGAGAAAAAAAAAAUGGCAUCUUUAUCCUUUUGACUUGAAGGGUUACUGUAGUUUCUAAGUAAUCUCUGGAUCUGCUACAGGACUCAAUUUGAGAGAGCAAAUUUUCUAUGAGUAUAUGGUAUUCUACUUCAAAUUUUCAUGGUAAUUGUUAUGGGUGCAGUGAUGCAGAUCAUAACAAGCUAUCUAAGUUCAUUAGGCUUCGAACUAUAAAUUUUCUAAUCAAAUUUUUAAUCAAUUGCACUAGAUGGAUGGGAACAAAACACACAUCCUAAGGCUCCGUUUAGUUCGGAAAUUAAUAAGAACUAGUUAUAUCGGGAAUAGAUAUAAGUAUGAAUUUUUGUAAGAACAAGAAUAUUUUUUUAUUUGGAUGAAAUUGUGAGUAUAAACUGAAACUAGAAAAAUUGUGUUUAGAUGGUUAUUGGGAAUAAGAGAAAUAGUUGGUGGUUAUAAAUAAAAAAUAAUGAUAUUACCCAUAUAAUUAAAUUUAAAUUUUUAAAAUUUAAAAUUUAAAAUUUAAAAUUUAAAUAUUCAAAUUUUUAAAUUGAAAAUUNUUUAAGUUUUAAAUUUAAGACCAAAUUUAAAUUUGAAAUAUAUAAAAUAUCAAAUUUAAAAUUUAAAAAUUUCUAAUAACAAAUCUAAAAUUUAAAUUUUAAAUUUUAUAAUUUAUAAUUUUAAAUUUUAAUUUUAAAAUUACAAAAUUUAAAUUUUAAAUUUUUAAAAUAAAACUCUCUCUGUCUACCCAGUGGGUGGGAACAAGCUUGUUCCUUGGUGGGAACUAUUGUUCCCACCCCUUACCGGGUUAUAUCAGGUAUAACCCGGUAAGGAGUGGGAACAAUAGUUUUCACCAAUUUUUUUUUUUUUUAUUUGGGUAUAAAGGGUGAUAACCCUCUUAUCCCCCUUCAUACCCGAUCCAAACAGGUCUAAAAGUAAAAGGAUGGAGGGAUUAGGGGUUUGUAUUUGCUAAAAACAAAGAAAAGGUAGUAUGAACAGGACCACCAAAAAAAACUUUGGACAGAAGAAACUUCUGGGCCCCACAAAUGCUCUCGCUCCCAGAAAACUCCAGAGGCUGGUCGUUGUGACUUGCGAGAGGUAAGACCGUAAAAGUUACGAGUGAGGUGGUGCGCGCGCCAAAAAGCGCACCCCAAAAUAAUAAUAUGACAAAAAUGAAUAAACAUAAUAAUAAUAAGUGACCAUACGUCUUUCUCACUUGCAAAAUUAAAUCGAUCGAACGAAUGUCACAAUAUAUAUAUAUAUAUAUAUAUAUAUAUAUAUAGAGAGAGAGAGAGAGAGAGUAGGGCUAGAAUAUUUUUACAAGUAUCAACUAAGUGAUACUUGUGUAUUUUUAACCAUUGGAUCUACUUUUUGAUUACUAAUAGCCUUUAAAGUCAAACAUAUUCCACCUACCACACCUACCACCAUCAUCUCAACCUCACAUCUCUCCAUCCAAGGGCUAAAAACACACAGUAUUUACCCCAUAAUACUUUUACAAGUAUUCUAGUCUACUAUAUAAUAUAUAUAUAUAUAAUAUAUAUAAUAUAUAUAUAUAUAUAUAUAUAAUAUAAGAUGAGCUACUAUGCUAUCGGAAGCACGGAGCCUUCGUGCUUCACUCAUUUUCGAUGUUGCGACUUUCGAAUCGUCGAUCGGCUCCGUUAAACUUGAUCUAGAGUAUUUGAAGUACCUAGAAAAUAAAUUUUUUAUUUUUCGAUAUCAUUUGCCUAGUGAUCGAAUGGCUCAAAUAACAAAUUUCAAUGGUCGUAGUGAGCCGUUUUGCAAGUUUAACGGUGUAGAAAUAUCCAAAUCACGUGAAAUUUUGAUAGAAAAUUCUUUAUACUAUAUAAAACAAGAUCAAUAUCUUUGAUUUAAAAUUUUAAUGUCAUAUUAUCACAUUUUGUAAGAUUUUUAUUUUCAGCCGUUGAUUUUAAGCUCCUUCGUUCACUAGGCAAAUGAUAUCGAAAAAUAAUAAAAUUUAUUUUCUAGGUACUUCAAAUACUCUAGAUCAAGUUUAACGGAGUCGAUCGACGAUUCGAAAGUCGCAACAUCGAAAAUGAGCUGGAAGCACGGAAGGCUCCGUGCUUCCGAUAGCAUAGUAGCCUCGCUCUAUAUAUAUAUAUAUCUACGUAUUAUAGAAACAUAUAGAUCUGGUGGUUUUUUGCUCGACGAAUAAAAAAAAAAUCUGUGAAUAGACAAUGGAUGGAAUUUUUCCUCAACGUGUUAGUCACUAAAAAGGCAAGAGAAAUUGUAGGAAGAAGAUGGCGACCUAAUAAUACAAAGGAACAACGGAAACAAAGAUACAUCUAUAGAUCGAAGAAUAUUAAAAUAUAACUCGAAAAUAAAAUGGACUAAAUUAAAUCGAAACCCAAAAUAAGCAGCAAAUUUCUAGUCGAUAUGCCAAAAAUAAAAAAGAAAAAAAAACUAAAGCGUAAUCUGUAGAGAGAGAGAGAGAGAGAGAGAGAGAGCGAGCAAGAGAUCAAAAGAUCUAAACAUACCUAUAGACCGAGCCAUAUUACAAAACGAAAUGUACAAAAACAAAUGAGAAUGUUUUUUUUAUAUACUGGAAAUCAAGGAGAGCAGGUCAAUAACUACUGAAAAAUAUACUCAAAACGAACGAAAAAAGCCGGGAAAAAAAAGAGAAAACACAAAUAAAAGUAGGACAGAAAGAAAACACGGAAGCAGCUAGAAAUUAAAACACAUAUAGAUCGAGCGAUCAUUCCAUCAGUAAAUAGGUCUACACACACAUCGAUCGAUUGAUCAAUAGCAAAAUCUGCACACAUAUCGAUCGAUCAUUCGAUCAAUAAAUAAAUCUGCACAUACACACAUCGAUCGAUUGAUCAAUACCAAAAUCUACACGCACGCACACACACAUCGAUCGAUCGAUCGAUAGAAAAAUCCACACACACACACACAAAGAGAGAGAGAGAGAGAGAGAGACCUGCGAGAGAAGGCGAAAGGAGAGAGGUGGCCGGAGGAGUCGGUGGCCGCCAAGCCGAAGGCCUUGCGGGAGUGCUCCUCCGCGGGCGAAAGCUUCUCCCCGUUCUCCGUCGACGGCGCCAUUGAUGCUCCUUCGCGAGAUCGCUCGAGAGAUCGCGAGAGAGAGAGAGAGAGAGAGAGAGAGAGAGAGGAGAUGCGAAUGAGGGAAUCGUGAAACACUGGGAAAGAGCGUACGCUCGGGGCCGUUGCAUUUAUAGCGGGGCUCGGGGUGGGGUGGGGUGGGGUCGGGCAGAGCGAAAAGGCGUGGCGAGCUCAGAAGAGUGUAGUAGCCACAAGCCCUCCUUGCUGACGUCACCAGUGACAUUUUGCGUUUACGUCCCUCGUGUUCGAAUUACGGACCAAAUUAAUUGGGUUAAGAAAAAUGCUACAUGUACGUUCCUCGUAUCAAUUACAAAUUAAUAUAGACGAUGAUAAAAAGACUAUGGUGUAUGACUCAUACAUCUAUAUCUGUAUUAUUAGUCUUACAAAUAGAGCCUUGCUCUUACAUUUAAUGCACUAUUCAUAAUUCACAACCUAAUAAGUUUUACGUACGGUUGGUAGCCGAAAUCUCUAAUCUCUGACCUGAUCAAAGAUCCUCCUCGAGGAGCGCGUCAGGAUGCGAAACGACUGUGAAUAGUGAUCCUCGAAGUUUGCGCCCUUCGAUUGAUCAAGCGAUUCAGCUAACGAGAGAACGGGUCAGCCAAAUUCGAAACCUUUACAGCAAAUUCGGUUCAGCUAGAUGAGCCGAAUGAACAAAAGAAGUCAGAAUUUCAGCCAAUGAAUGAGCCGAAUAGCUAAUACAGCACAUGAACUGGUCGGCCUGAAGAGCCGAACACUGCCUUCUAUUGAAAGAGAACGGAGAAAGUACAGGAAAGAGGGUUUUAGUCUACAGCGGAGUGAUGCCCAAAGGGCAGACAGACUCCAGAAUGCUAAGUUACAGGAACUACUCCUAGGGAAAGCAGUAAAUGCGAGAAAGAAAGAUGCAGGAAAAAUAAGGUUGGUCUUUUAUGCGCAGAGGUCAAGACCCUUUUUUCAGGAUACUAUAUGCCUAUUUAUAGAGUUGUCCCUGCGCUGGUUAUUGCCCUCGCACAAUCAGCCACUAUCUCCUGGUUUGUAGGACCACCUUCGGCCGAUCGGAACCGCUCGUAACAGCUUGCGGUUGCUAUAACUCCUUGAUCCAGCGCAGCUCAUGUAUCUUCUAGUGCGUCUGAUGUACUCCCGGUCCACCGUCUUAACCAUAUCAUGGAUAUGGACCCGGCGUGCCAGCUGUUCGUGCCGAAUUGGCUUAACUCCUACAUUUUAAUUUUGGGAUAAUUUCAUUAAUACCCCUCUGAAAAAUCAUAAUUUCAUGAAUAACCCUCCAAACUAAAAAAUAUCAUCAAUAUCCCUCUUAAAACCAAAAAUGUUCACAGAUACCCUUUUAGAUUAACUUUCCGUCAAGUGGUCAUCCAAUAUUUUAUAAAUACCAAUUUUACCCCUAGCAACAAUUUAAACAUAUAAUAUUUAAGAUUAAUUAUAUGAUCAAUUUUUAACAUUUGAAUCACAUAAUAAUUUAACAUUAUUUCUAAAAUAUUACAAUUAAAGAUCUAUAGUCUAUUAAGUGUGAUAGUUAAAUCUCAUUAUGAUUUUUCGCUUUUAAAUUAUACAUAGUUAUAAUGCAAUUUGUCUAUAGUAGAAUUCAACAUUAACUAUUUAAAGAUUUAUUUUUAAAAAUUUUAUUUAAAUAACUCACAUAUCUCAUGCUAAAAAUAUUUUGAUAUCAAAAUUCUCUAUAUUAGAGUAUUACUUAUAUGAUCUGCUCAAACAAAAAUUUUUUAAUUAAAAAUUUAUUAUUAACAAUAAAGUAAAAUUUUAUGAAAACUCUCUCAUCUAUAGUCCACUUCGACAUGAUCCUAACUUGGAAAAGCGUGAAAUUUGAUUUUCAGAUAGUUUAAAUGGUUUAUAUCAUGUUUAAUGAUGCCGAUUGUCAAUUUGAAAGUCCUAUCAUUGAAAAUAAAUCGUAGUAAAUCAAGCUGUACUACCGAUAGUAUUAUAACAAAACUCUCUCUAUAUAUACCCUCUCAACAUAAGUGUUUUUUUUUUAAAUUUUAGCAAUUGAGUGUUUUAUCCCAAUAAAAUUAAAAAUAUUAUCAAUUUCAUGUGAGGGAUCUCAAUUAAAUUUUUUUUAACUAAGUAAAGUCAAAAUAAAGAAAAACUGAUAAUUCAAGGUCUCUUAAUGUUAAAAAAUAAAACUUGAAGCAGUCUAGUUCAAAAUGAUCUAUAGGUGAGGGAUUUCUUUAUUUUUUACCCACUAAUAGUUAGUGUUAGAGAUGUUAUUUUUAAAAUUUAGAAGGGUACUUAUGAAAUUGCCCCUUAAUUAUUUGCUAUCAAAAUAACACCUAACCCUUUUAGAGCUAAAUUAGUCAUUUUGUAACUCAAUUUUUAUUUAACUAAACUUUAACUAUGGUUAUAGCAACAGUCGUUAAAAGGAAAGGUAAUUGUGAAAAUAUUUUGCAUUUGAAGGGGUUUAUAUGAUAUUUUUAACUUUAUAGAGAUAUCUACGAUAUUUACAUAUUUGAGAGGGGUAGUGGUGAAAUUGACCCUUAAAUUUUAGUCUUCGAUCUACAUAUUAUUUUCUUUCAUUUCAAUUAGAUUCUAAUAGUUCAAUUCAAAUAAAUUUUUGCCUCCUCUUAUAAAUUGCAAUCGUAAUUAGAAAGCUACUGACCAAUUCAAGCAUUAAUUAUUUUUAAUUUUUUAAACAGUUUGAUAAUACUUUUGUUGAUGUCAAGUAUACCAGGUCAAGAUACUUCAUAUAUAGAAGGCAAUAGCCAUCGUACGUAAGGUCUAAGUGAUUGAUUAUAGGCGUAUAAAAAAGUAUUGGCGUGAUAAAAUUAGGCUUCACGUGAAGUGGAGAAAGAGAUCGGGGAACCAAAGUUGAAUCAAAAUUAAAAAUAUAUAUAUAUAUAUAUAUUUUUAAAUAUAUAUUUUUUGAAUCAAAAUUAAAAAAAAUUCAGAUAAAAGUUGGAACCAAUGGUACAGUUAAUCCAAACUACUUUCUUAUUCAUGGACGAGAAUCUCAAGAAAGAAAAAAAACAAUUUCAAUUUUGAAUGUUUGUUGUAUUUUGUUUUGUGUUGUCUUUUUUUUUUUUUUGGUUAAUUUUGUAAGUUUCUACGAAUAAAAUUUGCAGAUUAAGUACCUGGAUGAUUGGGUGCGAAUAUAUGGUGCUUUAAUUGCAGAUUAAGUACCUGGAAUUUAGUAGACCUAAUGCAAAGUAUCCAACUUCAGCGUAUAAAUGUGAAAUUGAAUUAUAGAAAUCCUGAAAACGACAAAAUGAAAUAUUCACAACUAAAAUUAUUUUGGUAAUAAAAUUUAGACUUCCCACUAUUAAUAUAUAAUAAUAAAAAGUGGGAUUAUAUUUUUAUAUUUAUUUAUUUAUCUUAUAAUUAUUAUUUUAAGAGGACUCAAAUGAUCCUUCUCCGUAAUUUCACAACUUAGGCAUAGCAUAGCGUUGUACUUUUCCCAUCGAUGAGAGAUAAUCGAAGUUGUUGCUGAUGCAAGCAAUAACGCAAUACAUAUAUAUAUAUAUAUAAUCGAAGUUGUUGCUGAUGCAAGCAAUAACGCAAUAUAUAUAUAUAUAUAUAUAUAAUCGAAGUUGUUGCGGAUGCAAGCAAUAAACGCAAUAUAUAUUAUAUUAUACAUAUUUGAUUAGUUUGAGGACAUAAUUUAUUUUAUAUUAUUCAUUCAUUUAGCUACAAGUGAUCAAUUACCAAUAUUAAUUUUACGUGAAGCUUCUCUCAUUCGAUGUCUAAUGGAAGAGCUUAGAAGCUCUCCAUCUCAACCUACGAUUGGCGCAUAACUACAAAAACUCUUUUAUUUUAUAUCCCUUUUAUAAAAUUUGGAGCAAUUGGUUCUUUACACUGUAAUAUCAAUAUUUUAUCUUAAUUAAGACUCAAAUAAACUCACUCCAGUAUCAACAAAACAGUAAUUUAGCUUUUCAGUGCACUUCUCAAGUUUAAACCGAUAAAAUCUACAAUGAAAUGUUAUUAUGCAUGUUGCAUGAUAUGAACUCGAGACUUACAACACAUAACAACCAAACUUUUUGCGUGAAUAAUUUAGUACAAGUACAUAGGACUAAAUAAAAUUACACGCGAGGAUUGGAUGGGAGCGUGGAACUGAACGGUUCAUUUUGGGCUCUCUCCAUUCUAGUCCAAAACAAGAGUCACAUCAGAGAUGUGUGCGUCUGCAUUGCACCACCGUGCGUGUACGACACAAAAGCUAGCUCACGCCGUGUCCGUGUGUAACUUGAAUUUUUCUAUGUUUGAUUUGAAGAUCAAAACUAAAUUUAGUUUUAUUUGGAUUCGAAUUCAGAACUCAUAACAUGCACGUCAGGUGUUUUCAUGAGAUAGGUAUCUCAUAAUAUCAUUACGAGCAAUGCUUCAAUACUCCAUUGUAAUCUUAGCCGUUUAUUUUUAAUCAAUGAAGGGUUAAGAUUUAUGCAUAAAAAAAGAUGACCUGCUAUUGCACAAGAAGUAUCAGUCACCAGGUAUGUGAUGUAGAAAUUUUUUUGAAAAAAAAAGAGUUAAUAUUAAAAAAUUAAAUAAUUAAUAUUGAAAAGUUUUGCAUACUACCCUUAAAUCAUGGAGAGAAUAAAUUUUUAAUUAAAUUGUCCAUUUUUAAAGCCGAUUUUAAUAAUAAUUUAUGAUCGCAUUUGAGUCAUAAAUUUAGUAAUUUAUAAUUUAAAAUUAAUUUUCAAACAUCGAAACUUUAUGUUUAAAUAGUUAACAAAAUUUAUUUUUUAAGUAUAAUAUAAAUUAAAUCUAAAUUUAUAAUUUAAAUUUGAUCAAUAUUUUUGAAAUUUAAUGCUGUUUUUCAAUAUUGAAUUAACAAUUUCAACUUACUUUAAAAUGUAGAAAUCUUUUAUUUAAAUAAAUAAUAAAAGUUUAUAAAUACACUAUAACUUAAAUUACAAUUUUAAAGAUAGUAACAUUAAUUUUUGAACUUUCAUGUUAGUUUAAUAUUGAAUUGAUAAUUUGAAUUGAAAUGUUUACUCGUUUAAAUAUAAAUUUUUCUUUCUAAAAUUUAAAUUUAAUUUAUACAAUUAUAAAUACAAAGUUUAAACUCAAGUUAAAUUUUAAAUUCGAAUUUAUGAAGAUUUAUCACUUAUGAAAUUAGCCAUUAUCUAAGUUGGUAAGUAACAAAAUUAAAUUAGGAAAUGAAGAUUUGUUGGAUAUUAUCAAAUUUGGUAAUUAGCUAAUUGCAUAGUUUCAAAUAUUAUCUUUAUGAUUGAUUAGUAACCUGUUGAGCAGGUUAUUAUUGUGUAAAAGUCAAUCUUAACCUCAAAAAUUGGAUGGUCAGAUUUAAAUUGGCCGGUGUAUAGAAGUAUUUCUCUAUUAUUACAUGUCUUUAUUUAUUGUACUAACAUCAUAAAAAAUUUUGUUGGAGGAUAAUUUUAUAAGGUACAUGAUCACAAACCAACUAAAAAUACAUUCUAAUAUACCGACUUUUUCUAGCGCAAGUGGCAAAAGACUUGAUAAUUGGUAUUUGAAAUUCCAAGUUCGAAUUCUAAUUAAUUCACAUUUUCAGCUAAGUUUAUUCUUAAAUGAAUAAACGAAACGGAUAGCAUGCUAUCCAUCUCUCAAAAAUAAACAUUCUAAUAUAUAUAAAAAAAAAGGUGAUGUUCAUUUAAUGCAAUAAAAAAACAUUCUAACCGUGCAAUAAAAAACAUUCUAAUAUAGAAAAAAAAAAGGUGAGGUUCAUUUCAUGUAAUGGAGAUAUACAAAUUUUCUCUAUUACGGAGAAUAUGAAAUUCAAGACAUUAAGGAUGCAUUUGGUUCGCACUGUCUUUUUAAGAUUUUCGGUAAUUCAAUUCAAUAGGAAUAAGAAAAAAUGACGGUGUUUAGUUAAACGUACUAAAUAAUCUAACUAGUGAUCGACUUGAAAAUGUGAUUCAUCCCAAAGUACUAAGCUCAUUAUCUUGAUGAAGGAUAUGUAUCCUUAUAUUAAUAUAUUAGUAAUCAUAAUGUAUCUAAUAUUUUUCUUUAUUGCUAUCUGUCGACUAGUUGGUAUUAUUUUCUUUUACUCUCUAACCUUAUAUCUCUUUCUAAAUUUUAACUCAUUUUCUCUAAGUUAAACUCUCUUUACCCCUUUUUUUUUUCCUAAAAUUUCAACUCUCUUACUCUCUCUCUUUUUCUUUAAUUAUGCUCUCUCUCCGACAUGUGUUCUCUCUCUUUUUUUAAAAAAAAGAUGAUGAAUUUUUGAUAGCAUUAUUUAAAAUUAAUUAACGAAACAAUACAUUAAUUGUAUAUUUUUCGUAAUCUAAAAUUAAUAAUAUGACUAAAUAAUAUUAAUUACCGUGCGAACCAAAUACCGAAAUGUCACUUUCUUAGUAAUAGGAUGAGUAGGAAUAAGAUUCUUUGAUAUUUUUUUAUUCCUAGUAAUCUUUCAUUAUGCGAACCAAACAUGUUCUAAACCCAAUCAAAUGAGUAAUAAAAGUCAUUGCAAAUUAUAAAUCAUUUAAAUAAUUGAUUUAUCGAUCCAAUCCACUGGUUUGGAUGCUACCAAACAAAUGAAGGGUAAGCCUCUGUUGGACUAAUUGGGGUUCAAUUGUUGGAAUCGUCCUAGGCCCAUUGCAUCUAUUUGGCCUUUAAAACUCAGCCCAAUAAAAUGGAGCACAAUCGAACUUGUCAACGUUUAGGCCCAAUAGUGGCCCAAACAACAAGUACGAAGUCAAAAACGUAAAUAGAGAUGGAAAGAACCCUUCAUCUCUCUCUCUCUCUCUCUCUCUCUCUCUCUCUCUGCGUUCUCGGGAGCUCUCUCUUCGUUCUCGAGAGCUCGGCAAUGGCGUCGUCGUCCCCGGACCUCCUCUUCGGCCUUCGCAAUAGCUUCUACCUCGGCGCCUACCAAGGCGCGAUCAACAACAGCGACAUCCCCAACCUCGGCCCUGACGACGCCAUCGAGCGCGACUCCAUCGUCUACCGCUCCUACAUAGCCCUCGGAUCCUACCAGGUUUCCCUCCAUCUCCUCCUCCUACUUCGAUCGAUCCCCCUUUCUCUCAUCUCCUCCUCGGUCUCUUCGAUUGACCCCGUAAAUUUGUGAUCUCUGAUCGGAUCUCGCCGCGUUUCGAUGCAGCUCGUGAUCAGCGAGAUCGACUCGUCCGCGCCCACCGCGCUUCAGGCCGUGAAGCUUCUCGCGCUCUACUUCGCCGGAGACAAGGUUGGUUGAUUUGCGGGUGCCAGAUCUAGUAUAGUCUGUUAGAUCCGGAUCUGACGGGAUCUGUAUGUUACGAAUUGCGACUUACUUGAGUUCAGUUUUGUGAUCCAAUGCUUGUUUUCGAUUAAGUGUUGUUUAAAUGCCCUAGAUUUCAGAGUGUUGAUCCUAAUUUUGAUCUACUUUAGUGAUUUGAAGUUUGGUUUCAAUUGAAAGCAGGAGCGUAUAGUAUUUUUGGUGCUCUAGAUCUCAGAGUAUUGAUCUUUGUGCGUUCCAUUUUUAUCCAAUUUAGUGAUCCAAAGCUUGGUUUCAGAGCGUGGGCGUAGUGUAGUUUUGAUGCCUUAGAUUUCAGAGAUCUGAUCUUAGCGCAUUCCACAUUGAUGAAUAUCGCUUUGAUGUUCCGCGGAUCACAUCCCAACUGGCUGAUUAGUAUGAGUAGGUAGCAAGACAGAUAUGUGCCUUCUUGGAUCAUCCUCUUUCUUUCAGGCCUUAUGCUUCAAUCUUGAAUAUCUAUUAAACUGAGAAUUACAAGGUGCUCUGGUAUUACCAAACGUUUGUUAUUUAAGCAGACCUACAGAACCGUAAUGUAGUAACUAGUUGGUAAAGGAAAUAUUUAACCUUAGUUUCUAUGGAGUGUUUCUAGAGCCACCAUAACUUGUUAUAUGUAUAUAAAUAGUUGCAUCACACUUGGACAUCCUACGUAGAAAAUUAGAAGAGAAACAUUCUCCGUGAGCUCUUAUAAUUUGGGUUGAAGUAGUUCAUAUACCGUAUAGCUAAUGUAAUCUGCGCUCUGUAUGUCAUUGCAAUCUCUUCUGCUCAUUCAGUUGUUCAUUAAAAAGAUUAAAUUUUCAGUAUAAUUUAUCCUGUAUUCUUUCCCGUCAAAGUGGUUCUGUAAAUAUCUGAAGCUGAUUGAGUUUUCCCUGGUUUUCUUUAAAAGGAAGCUGCAAUUUCUGGUCUCCAAGAGUACUUGAGUGAUUCGGCCAUAGGAAACAAUCCUGUUCUGCGACUAAUUGCAGGGAUUAUAUAUAUGCAUGAGCAAGACUACAAUGAGGCUCUCAAGCAUACCAAUUCUGGAGGAACUAUGGAAUUGUGAGUUUUUAUUUCUCAUUAGUGUUUGCAAGAAAUAACUUUCUUCCAACAAAGGUCUCAAAUAUUGCGGUGCAACUGAAUAUAGAAAGUAAACAAAUGCUCCUAUUGUUGUGGAGAAUGAUAAUCAGGGGUCAAUAACAAAAUUAGUUUCCAUCCCAAUUGGAUGAAAUAGUUGUUUCGCACCAGUUUUCCUUUGACGCGUUUGGCGGAAUAUGUGGAAUAAUUUUUGUGUCAACCCAGUGUUAUUCACUAACUAAUCAGUGCCGAGUGAUGGCUAAUCUAUGAAAACUUUGUUCUAGGAGACAAAUUAAUUUCAUUAGUUUGAUUCAACUUCUUCUUUGCAGGCAUGCAUUGAAUGUACAAAUUUACAUUAAGAUGUAUCGGUCAGACUAUGCAGAGAAACAACUUAAGGUCAUGCAACAAAUUGAUGAAGACCAUACACUGACUCAACUUGCAAAUGCAUGGCUAGACCUAGCUGUGGUAAAACUCUUUUCACUAAUUUAGACAUGUUUAUAGAGAUCUCAGCUGUUUUAAUAUUGAUCAUAGUGUUUUGCAAUGUUAGGGUGGAUCUAAGAUACAGGAAGCAUAUCUUAUCUUCGAAGACUUCUCUGAAAAGUAUCAGAUGACUGGGAUGAUACUCAAUGGGAAGGCAGUUUGCUGUAUGCACAUGGGGCGAUUUGAUGAAGCUGAAACUCUAUUGCUUGAAGCGCUAAACAAAGUAAGAUUAGAACAUCCUUUUCUUCUUCUCAAAAACUGUUGAAAGCUAAUUUUACAGCCAUAAAACUAAGAGAAUCUUGUUUUUACCUUUAAUAGGAUGCGAAAGAUGCAGAAACUCUCGCGAACCUAAUUGUGUGCAGUCUCCACCUUGGCAAAUCCUCAUCUCGAUACUUCAAGUGAGUGAACAAUGUAUUAUGUAUUAAAAUUAGGAAGAUAUGCAUCACCGUCUCAGUUUUCUUUUUUUUUUCCUUUGUGCCAAUAACUGUACGUUACUGGCAUUUCGUGGCCGGUUUCUUCUCAUAGUUUCCUUCUAAAUUUAUCAUGCCACACAAAUCAUAUAUUGCUUGCUUAUUUCCCUGUUUUGCUUCUGCAGCCAGCUGAAGCUGUCGCAUCCCGAUCAUACGCUCGUCAAGCGUGCCGCCUCUGCCGAAGAUAGCUUUGACAGAGCUCUUCAAGCUGUCGCAUAAAGCCUUUGUUAUUUCAGCUCCUCAAGGGGAUGCAACAUAGCUUCUGCUUUUUUAAUGCACCAUUUUGAAUCCGCCUUACACUGUUGCUUUCUUAAUCAUGUCGCGUAAUGUUACAUUGAAUUGAAAAGAUGUAGUCUGUUUGUCCUUUUCGACAUUUCUUAUGCCUUUGUUAGAUCAUUAUGUCCAAGUCAUGGAGCUUAAAGUGUUUUUUUUUUUUUUCCUGUAUUAGAAAAUUAUCCCCCUUUUUUAAUGAGUCUCUCUGAAAAUUGUAUUCUUUGUAAUCCGUCACUGCUGCUGCUGAUCAAGGUAGCUGUAAGUUGGCCUAUAAUUAGUCAUGGUUUGGUCUGAUUUUUAUUUCUUGGUGUUUUACAACUGGCCAAAGAGAAUCUGGUGAAGCAGUUCUUCAAUUUUUUUUAUUUUUUUAUUUUUUUAUUUUUGCUUUUUUGUUGUUUUUUUUAUGAAGAACCUUUGUCGAGUCGACGUGAAUGAAUGAUGGGCUAAAAAUAAACUCAUUCACUGCUAUUGCUAAUUUUUGGUCUACUAUAACUUCGAGCCGAGGGGUAUGUGACUUUUUUUUUCCGUCCAAAACGGAAAAAUGGUUCAAAUUUGGAAGUUCAAUUACCUGAAUUAUGAUUGUCUGAUCCUAUGAUUAUGAACCAAGUGUAGACUCUGGCUAAAUGGCCUCAUAAAUCUGGUGAUAAGAUGCUUCCACAUCCUGUAUGCUGUAAGUAUAUGCUAUUUUGAAUCUACAAUGUUUCAAUUUGAAGAAGGAAAUAGGGAAAAAAAAAAAGAAGAAAAAGAUAAGGGUAAAUAUUGCAUAAGAAGUUCACAGAAUACAUAAUUUUGAUAUUGGACUAUUAUUUUUUGUUUUUUAUCUUUCACAGAGGAUAAGCACUCACGAAGAACAUUGUUGAAUGGCGCUACGCAAACUCGAGAACGAGGUACAUAAAACCAAACCUUCAGGAGCAAUCUUCACCUAUGCAGGGGCACUUGUAGCUCGACGGCAGGCGCUUGCCGCAGUCCGCGAGCAUCUGGAGGGUGAUGGGGAGGAGCAAGUCCACGUCCAUGAGCUUCAACCGGAUGGCCAUGCACAGGCAUACGGCGGCGUCCAUGCCCAUCAACCACUUGAUCACAGGGCAGCAUGCCUCCUUCGCCUUCUUCCCGAUCCCGACGUGGACUAGCCCAUCAAGGAUGUCGACGCACAUCCCGAGCUUGAGCGCGUUUAUCGGGCACUUCUUUGGCGGGGAGGGCGCAGGGGCAGGCGAAGGCGACGGGGGGUGUGGCUUCGGUGAUGGAUGUGGCGACGGAGGUGAUGGUCGCGAUGGUGGCGGCGACGGUGUUGGUGUCGGUUUCUCAAACGCGAUUCGCCGGCAAUCGGGACAUGGAAAGAGAGAAAAGAGUGGAGCUUGGAGCACAAGCAGAAUGAGUAAGACGGUGGCCACUGCAUACCUCCCCAUGCUUUUGCAGAGAAGUGCAUGAGGUUUUGGCAUGUAGUAUUUAUAGGCACGAAAUGCAUAGGAGUGCAUGCAUUUGUUAUGCCUUUGUGUUUCCUGAUACAACUAAACUAGCUUGUUGAGCCUCUGGGGCUUUAUCCUUUUCCUUCUCCGUAGUAACUUGCAGUUUUAUGCUUUCCUACUGAAUCUCUUACAAACAACCCACAAAAUACGUGGAAGGAGAUAGAAAUUUAAUAUGCUGUUCACAAGUCACAACACAGAUGUAAAGAUGAAGUAAGAGCCUAUUCAGCCCAAUGAUUCAAACAUCGCGAAAAGAACCGAAUGAAUUUUUAAGGGAGAGACCAAAUACAACGCAGAUCCACCGGUUCAUAAGAGCAGUACUGUUAAAAACUAACACAGAUUCAGGUUCCGGUUAUGGAUUCGUAUUUUUCGCUCAGCAUAGCUGAAAAAAGAUGGCUAAUUUUGAGUGGUUCGUGAAUAACUGCGUUUACGGCAUCCGCCAUUUCGUUUGGACAUCUAUACCCAUCAGUGUUCAUGUAGCAUAGGUGAAGUAUUCUGCACAUAUUCCAAAAUGGGUCCUUGCAAGGUCUUGGAAUUGCACCUCCCUCCUUCAGCACCGGCCUUAGUAAUUCCUCUCGACAAGUUUCGUCGGAUCUCCGUACCUCCCUUACCGCGUCUUCGACGGAGGUGGAAGGGCUGCCGUGAAGCACGCGGAGUGAGAUGCUAUUCAACUUCCCUUCAUUGCCUUCUCUCUGCACCAAUUUAAAGAAACAGGUCUGGAGUAGUUCAUAAGUAAACUUUAUUAGGAUAGGAUGGAAAUUCGCUUCCUCCAAUCUAUUUGUGUUACUAAAUUUUGCACUUACUACUUGGAAUUACAUCGUAACCUUGCAGGUCGUUUAAAAGACGGCCGCAUGUGCUUACAAGUCUGAACAAUUCAUGGUAUUCUGGAUCUGCGACGGCCUCAUCCGAAAGCUUUGGACCAACAAAGUAGAGAGCCACCGACUGUCCCUAAAGCAAGUGGCAAAGGGUUUGGUGGUUGAUAUUCGAGAUCCCAAGUUCGACUCCUACUUGAUUCAUAUUUUUAGUUAAAUUUAUUUCUAAAUAAAAUAACCGAAGCAGGUAGCGUACUAUCUAUCUCUCUCUCUCUCUCUCUCUCUCUCUCAAAAAAAAAAAAAAAAAAAAAAAAAAAAAAAAAAAAAAAAAAAAAAAAAAACCGUAGAGAGCCGGGAGAAUGAUGGGGUCCAAAGCAAAGGAAACAAAUCCAUUUUCCAUGUACUGCUCUAUCGUGGGCACCGUUUUGUUCCUCAGACACUCCGCCUCGUUCAUCAUGGACCGAAAUAAGCUAAGCCACUGUCGUUUGCAUCGCUAUAUUCUGGGAGUCGUAAGUUCUUUUGAGUUUUUGUUAUUACAAGGUAAAAAUAUACAGAUCUCAGUUGAACUGUAGAAUACUUUAAAAGUUCAUUACCCAACGUCUAAAUUUAUUUAAUUUAAAUCAGUGGACGACACUUUUGAGUCAUUAACUUUUUCCCUUCUUUGUAAUAAUUUGCAGUUUUAUUGUUUCAUACUGAAUUUCUUACAAAUAAACCCACAGAUACGUAAAAGCAAGAGGAAAUUAAAAUACAUUCACAACACAGAGGUUAAAAAAAAAGAAAGAAAUAAACAACACAAAAAUUCAAACAACAUGAAGAGAAACCAAACGAACUUUAAAAAGACCAAAUCAGAUAGAGAUCCAGAGCUAGGUUCUCGACAGUAGUACAUUUUUUUUUUUCUAUUAAGAGAUUUUAAUGAUAAUGACAUAAUUUAUCGAUGAUGAGCAGCUCUUGGCGACCCAAUAUUUUCGAUUAUAGACAACAAAAUACACAUUGAUUCAGCUCCUGCUAGGAACAACCAAAUCACACGGAUUCAGGUUCGAGUUUGGAAUUUGUAUUCGUAUUUUCGCCGGGUACAGCUGACAAAAGAUGGCUAAUUUUGAGUGGUUCAUGAAUAACUGCGUUCACAGCACUCACCAUUUCCUUUGGAGACGUAUAUCCAUCAGUGUUCAUGUAGAAUAGGUGAAGUAUUCUGCACGCCUUCCAAAAUAAGUCCUUGCAGCUUCGAGGAAUUACAGAUCCUUCCUUCAGCACUAGCCUUAGCAAUUCUCUCCGCGAAGUUUCGACAGAUCUCUUAAUCUCCAUUUUAGCCUCUUCUAUGGAGGCGGAAGAGCCGGCCUGAAGAACGAGGAGAGAGACGCUGUUCAACUUUCCUUGUUUACCUUCUCUCUGCACCAGUUUGCAGUAAUAAGCGUCCAAAUGAUAAUGAUUAAAAACCACAAGGAGCUUGAAGAGAAAGUGGGGGAACAAAAUUAAGGCUCUAAUAGGACGGGAAUUCGCUUCCUCCAAUCUAUUUGUGUUACUAAAUUUUGCACUUCCUCCAAUCUAUUUGUGCUUACUAAAUUUCGCACUUCCUCCAAUCUAUUUGUGCUUACUAAAUUUUGCACUUACUGCUUGUAUUACCUCGUAACUUUGCAUGUCGUUUAGAAGACGGCCGCAUAUGCUCACAAGUCUGAACAAUUCAUGGUAUUCUGGAUCUGCAACGGCCUCUUCCGAAAGCUUUGGACCAACAAAGUAGAGAGCCGGGAGAAGGACGGGGCCCAGAGCAAAGGAAACAAAUCCAUUUUCCAUAUACUGCUCUAUUGUGGGUGCCGUUUUGUUCCUCAUCCACUCUGCCUCUUCCAUCAUGGUCCUUAUCGCGCUAAGCCACUGUCGUUUGCAUUGCUAUGCGUCAAAGUCUUUUCAAGAUAAAUGGUUCCCGGUUUAAAUUGAGACACAGGUUAUUCCUACAAUACAUAUAUACCCUGUAAAAUAUGAAUUCUCAUACAAUCUGAAUUGUGAAAAAGUCGGUUUUGUAUUUGCAAAAAGAUUUUCUGAAGAGAAGCAUCAUAGCAAGGGUUGUAACAUGCUUUUGGAAUGGUGCAUGUGAAAACUCGCAUAUUGCAGGGAUUUACAGGCGAUUUUGCAGGGGAAUAUAUGUAAAUGUCUGAAUUCGGUAAGUUGUAAGAUCUCACUAUUUCAACUAGGUGGCCGGUGACGCUGCGAUUUUGUACUACUGACGCCUUAGCUCCAAGCUCAUUGAUUGUGCUGUAAACAGCAGAAAACAAAAUCUCCACGUGCUCAGAGCAGAACUCCUUUUCGUGAUUUCCAUCCCAUCUGUCACAAGUACAAAGGUGCACUUUAAGUAAAUAAUGUGUAAAAUAAUCUCAGAAGAACAGCGGAUCAUUAGUAUAAGCAAGAAAAAUCGUACUUCUCAACUAAACUGAUGAGGUUUUCUAAUUCUUCUCUUGAUCCACCUACGUCGAAGAAGUCGUCAACCACAGUGGUGAGCAGACUAUUUUUGGUCCAUGACAUGCGAGCAUCGGUUAAUUCAGGAGGAUAUAAAGUAGCGGCAGCAGAGAGGUAACAGUAUGUUAGCUUAUCCCGAGCAAAUCCUAGCUGAUCCAACCUGUUUUCUCUGACCCAGCUGUUAAAAUCACAAAUUUAGAUUAGGAAAGCACAAUGCUGGCGUUAAAUGUAAUAAAAAUAAGGAACUUGCUUUUGCAUGCGCACUUAACAAAAGCAUAUUUGUGAAGGAAAGUGAGUGGAAGGGCAUAUAGGCACAUAUUGGAUAUUCAAAGGACAUUGGCAACAAUUUCAACUUAAGAAGGGUCUGCGAGCAAACGUGUUUAUUUCGAGAGAUAUUUAUGCAACAAAAUAACCCUAAAAAGAGAAUCCAUAAGAUGGACAGACCUCUGAAGAUGUUGAAGUUCUUUCUGAUAUAUAGACUGACAACUACUGAAAUCUUCAAUUGCCAAUUUAAGAAGAUCAUCAGAAGUGCAGAAAGACCUGAUACAGUUCAAAAGCAAAAAUUACUGGCAGAAAUCCAAAAAUCAGAAAAAAAAAGGUUUUAUCCUAUUUAUGAUUAAAUUCUUACUUAUAUGAUGUUUUGAGAAUCUGAUAAUUGGCAACAUCAAAGUUCUCGAUGUUUCUCUUGUGUUCUAAGCGUUCCAAAUUGGCGUAAAAGGGAAAUUUAAGAACAUAAUCUGCCUGAAAAUAUAAAAUAGAAUUAGUUUCAACUCUCAAUCAGACAACUAAAAUUUUUUUUUCCCCAAAAAACAUAUUAAGACUAUCAAAUACCUACCUCUUGGGAGAUAACUCGGGAAGAAUGUUUUGAAUUAGAAGAUACUUCCUCUUUUAGGAAACUACUGGACCAGGAACCCAGUUUAUCUAAGACUUGUUCACAGUCCAGGAUUUUAAUCUGUGAUGCCUUGUGAAAUUCUAGAACAGUUUUCAUAUCUUUCAGAUAUCCUUGCACGGAAUUAUGGAAAUUAUGCCCAUCUGCACAAUCGUCAGCAAUAGAUUAAAAACCCAUGGGCAUAAAAUACAUAUGUUGAUAACCAAGAUUCAGAAAGCUAGUUCCUUCGGGGCCCGAAUUACCUGAAGAAACAUCAUAUCCGUUCAUACGCAAAAGACGAAAUGCCAUAGCACACGCCGUCAUAUCUGAACUAAGUUCCUCAUCGUUCUCCAACCAGCAUCUGCAUAUUUAGAUGACGGCAGCUUGUAAAAUCUAGAGAUAUUGCACACAUCUCAACUUAAGGGUAUUUUUGUAAGGAACUCCACUCUAAAUGGGGUGUAUAAAAAUUAAGAUUAUAACAAGGGGUACGUAUGUGUAAACAGAUCAUUUUGCAGAAAUACCUCUAUAUAUAUUUCUAAAACUGCAAUUCAUAUUUAGAAGCUAUUUCUAGCGUAAUACCUGUAUAUUCUGUCCAAGAUGGUCUUUAUCUCAUAAGCAAACAGCCGAGAAAUUCCCAACUUUUCAAGAGUGUCGACCAUGCAAAGCUGCGUAUGCAUCUCAAACGGAUAAACGGUAGGAACUGCAGAAAGGAAAAUGAUAUUAGAAAUACCGUAGCAUUUCCACAUAUGCGACAGACAAAAUUUAUCGAUUAGAGAGUAGAAUCGAAUCCACCUGAGCUGCCAAACCGCCGUAAAAUAGCAUGCAGGUAGUCAAGAGCUUUAACAUCAUAACGAUGGGUCAAUGCGACAGCUGUUGUUGCAGGUGAAUUGAACAACGAUCCGUUCUUCCUCUGAUACUUCAUAACCUCAUUCCAGUCCUGCAAAUUCCCUAAUCCUUCGGAUACAUACGCCAUGUACGCUUUUCGUCCCUCGGAAUUGUUUGCAGAAUCCCUAAAAAAUCAAUAAUACCGAUCACAACAUAAAUGCCAUUUACAAAAAAAUGUGCAUCCUGAGUGAAAUUAAUGAUAUAAGAUUCUGUUAAAUAUAAAAAUGUUUAAAUACCGUUCUCUAAUAGCUUAAGUUCUUAGAGUAUAACGGUUGUUUCACAGAUUCAAACAAAAUUUACAUUGGAAUAACCAGGGAGCCUGACCUUUUCAAUUCUAAAUCUCGAAGGCAAAGAAUAUCCUGAAUAGCAUGCUGUCUUAUGGGAAUAUCUAAACCCAAAUCGAUUGCACGUUCAAGCAUGCCAGGGAAAAUGAUAUUGAAGCCGACAGGAGACUGAUAAUUCUCAUCCAUAAUACAUGACAAAUUAGAUCCAAUAUAAUGUAGCCCUGCAAUAAGUCGAAAAAAAAUGAAGCUUCUUAAUCCAUUGAGCAAAACACAAUGUUAAUGAGUAAAUGUUCUGUUUCCUAAUACCUCUUCUUACGUGCUCUUCACCGACAUUCCAUCGCUUGAGCGCGAGUACACUUGCCAAUGUGGAAGAUAGAGCAUCUUUAAUCAAAGAGGGAUGGAUAUGGUCAAGUCCCCAGGAUCCAUUAGAAUUUUGAUUUUGUAACAUCCAAUCGACGCACUGAGGGAAGCACGGAGUUUGAGGAGAUCCAGGAGAAGGGACCAUGGCAACCCAUGCCGUGUCAUAUGAAGAAACUGAAUAUUCGACCUUACUUAGCUGCUCCCUUAUUCGUUUCUCCGAUUCCCUGGAACACUACAGCCACGUCUAAUAAGAUGCUUAAUUCAACCACAAAUUUAUUGUAUGGAGAUUUCAAAAUAACAUGGGAUCAAUAAAUCUAAUACCGUUACUGAGAGGUUCGCGCUGCUUUCUUCUUUCCCAUCAUCCCAAUUUGCUGUAUAUGAAAACGAAGCAUUCGGCAAUCAGCAAAAGAGAAAUAAAUGUAACACCAGAGCAAGUGAAAUAUGCAAAUGUCUUUUCGUAAUUAUUCCAACCAACCUAAUUAGAAGUUGUCAUGAUAUAACUAGAUCUAACACAUGCUGCAAUUUGAAGAUAAUCUCAUAUUUGGCAUUUAACAUAUUCUCCUUAAAAAAAAAAUACACAACUUUAAGGUAUCGUUUGGUUCGGGGAUAAGCAAAAAAUGGCUAUUCCAGGGAUAGGUAUAAAUUGAGGUAUAAGCGGGGAUUAGAUCAAUUUUGCGUUUGGAUGAAAAUUGGGUAAUUGCUGUGAAUAAAAGAAAUAGCGUUUGGUUAGGUAAAAUAGAAUAAGAAGGAUAGUGGGUUUUAUAAAUAAAAAGUAAUGAUAUUAUCCUCUUAUUAUAUUUGAAUUUGAAUUUUUAAAAUUUUAAAUUUAUAUUUUUAAAUUUAAAAUUUUAAAUUUUAAAAUUUGAGAAAUUUGAAAUUUAAAAUAACAAUUUUAAAUUUUAAAUUUCAAACUUUAAAUUUAAGAUCAAAUUUAAAUUUGAAAAAUAUAAAAAUAAAUUUUAAAUUUCAAAAAUAAAAUAUCAAAAUUUCAAUAUUAAAAUUUAAAAUUUAAAUUUAAAAUUAUAAACUUUAAUUUGAGAUUAUAAAUUAUAAAUUUUAAAAUUUAAUUUUUUUUUUUAAAAUUUUAAAUAAGAAUAAGGGUGGGAACUUAAUUAAUAAAUAAUUUACUAUAAUAAAUUUAUAAAUUUUUUAAAAUUCUAAUCAAACUUAAUUUAUAAAGGAAUUAUUAUAAUUUUAUUAUAAUAUUUAAAUAUAAAUAAUAUGUAUUAAUAUAGUACAAUUAAUAAUUUUAUAAUAAAAAUAAUGUAUUAUAUAUAUAACAUAGUGAUAAUUGCCUAUAUACCCUUCAUGCGUUCGGAAAUAUCGAUCUACCCCUACUCUUUUUUUUCUUUCUAAAAUUGUCCUCAUACGUUCCACCGUUAUUCCAAAAUACCCCCGCAGUUUAUCCCCUGUUAGCUUAACUCGGGUUAAACAUGGGUUAAUACUAUAUAGAGUUAAAACCUGACAAAAUACUAUAUUUGCCCCUACUUUAUUAUAGUAAUCCCUAAAGAUGUAUCCUCUUUCUUCCCAAUUUUGUCGCCACCACGGCCGCGCUCCUCCGCCUCUACUCACCUCCUCGCCUCAUCUCCUCCCAAACCACCACACUCCCACACCUCCACUCCAACACACCCAUCUCGUCGUCUCGUUGUCCUCCUCCGCCGCCGCUCUCGUCGUCGCCGUCGUCCUCUUCCUCCGCCGCCUUGGCCGGCGCCGGGAGCAAGAGGGCCGCAGCGACGAUCCCAUCUCUCGCCGCUCUCGUCGUCCUUCUCCUCAUCCGCUGCCUUGGCCGGCGCCAGGAGCAAGAGGGCCGCAGCUCCAUCGGACCCCUGCACGCCUUCUGCUCCGGAUCCGGCUGAAGGGUAAAUAAGAAAAGUAUUUGCUAUAUGAAGGGUAUAUAAGAAAAGUUUGUUACGGUACAAGGGUAUAUUGGAAUGGGCAAAAUGGUAAUUUUUCAGAGCUAACGGCAGCUCACUAACGGAACUUAACUCUAGGGGUAUUUUAGAAAAACUUGGAACAUAAGAAGGGUAUUUUCAAUAUUAGCCUUCUAAGAGGGGUAAAUAAGAAAACGGAGAACUUUUCAGGGGUAUAUAGGCAAUUGCCCCUAUAACAUAUUAUAUUUAUAUAAUUUAGUUUGCUUAAUUUAUAAUUUUAAUUAAGUUUGAAAUUAAGCAUUGGAAUAGCACUAUUCCACCAAAAUGGUGGAAUAGCAUAUUCCUUGCUAUUCCGGAAUAACUGGGAAUAGCAAGAUUUGACCGGAAUAAAAUAUUCCGGCCAUAUUUCAUCCCGUUUGGUGGAAUAGCGGGGAUGUUAUCCCCGCUUAUCCUCCGAACCAAACGGGGCCUAAUUGUCUUAUUGAGACAAAUGUAAAUAAUAUAAUUUAAUGCCACAUUUACUUGUAUAAUAGCAACGGUUGAAUAUCAAUAUUAAAAGCACCAUAUUCUCUUACAGAAGUAUUUCAUAAUCACAACGAUGGAAAAGCAGUGUUAGUAUAUUUCAAAAAAACUAUACAUGAGAUGCAGAACAGAACGCAUCACAUAUCCUUUCAUACACAAAAAAAUUUAACUUAAAAAAUGGUUCUACCUGACGAAACUCGCGGAAGAGAUGCUCUAACUGUUUUUUUAGCUCUAACUCUAGAAAUUUGAAUAUCUGAAGAUCGGAUGCAGCACAGGGGAAAUGAGAGAGCAUUUAACGACAUGGCCACUCAGGUUUAUGUGAAAUUAAUGGUGAUCUGCGACGAGAUAGCAGCAAACUAAGAGGCAUCAAAAAAUGAUUAAGAAUUUUCGAGAAAAAUACUGCAGGAAAAAAGAAAGCAUAGCUAGAAGAAAGAAUCCAACCAAUUAAGUAAACGAAAAUUAAAGUAACUCAAUUAAGGAUAGACUAAUCAAAGUAAAUCAAACUAAUUAAUGCGUCGAUAAUAAAAGGUGACAAAAAUGUACAUGAACCCUCUCGUUGUCCAUUUUACUUGUCGUUAGCAUUCCUUCGGUUUUUACUUCUUAAUUUCCAUUGAAGUUUUUUCUGUAAACCGGUUGAUUCAAGUUUUGUAUAAUGUUUUAGAAAUAUUGUAUAUUUUAUUACUUUGUAUUUAAAAUGACAAAUUCGUAACUAACGUAUCAAGUCACUUGGUUACGUGUCAACGACCCGUAGAUAAUAGAGCUAUUAAUUUUUACAGAACCCCAAUAUAAAUAGAUAGAAUGAUUCAAAUAAAAAAAAAAAAUUAAAAGUUGAGAGGUUUCGAUAAUUAGAAAAGAAAAAGUAAAACUAAAAUUUGCAUGUUCUAAAAGCUCUAUACAUGCGUCCAUGGCCAAGGAGAGAGAGAGAGAGAGAGAGAGAGAGAGAGAGAGAGAGGUUGCGGCGCUACCUGUUUAAUUUGUGUUCACUACCAAAGAGUAAACGGAGUGGCGAAGAAGAGAGCCUGAGGGGUAAAUAAAACAAGGUGGGGUGUGUAUAUAUACAGUGUACUAUCAGUAGCACGGAGCGCUCCGUUAUGUUCGCUUAAAUGGGCCAGCAUCCUGCCUUGUGGCAGGAGGUCAUGUGGGCCCGAGUCAUGUUCGAAAUGGCAUGAGGCUAGGUGGGCCGAGUCAUGUUCGAAGUGGCGUGAGGCUAGGUGGGCCGAGUCACAAUCGAGACCCGUGGGCGCUGUUUCUGUACGCUUUAAGUGAAUUGGUUGCGUAUUUCUAACAGCUCGAGCUUUUGGGAUUAAUGGUUAGCGUCAACAAUCCGACAAGUUGUAUCAGAGCCAGAGCUCACAGAUUUAAUUCCUGCAUGCUGCAAAUGUGCGCAGGUGCUGGAGGGGGGAUUGUUGGCUUAAAUGGGCCAGCAUCCUACCCUGUGGCAGGAGGCCAUAUGGGCCGAGUCAUGUUCGAAAUCGCGUGAGGCUGGGUUGGGCCGAGUCAUGUUCGAAGUGGCGUGAGGCCAGGUGGGCCGAGUCACAAUCGAGACCCGUGGGCGCUGUUUCUGUACGCUUUAAGUGAAUUGGUUGCGUAUUUCUAACAGCUCGAGUUUUUGGGAUUAAUGGUUAGCGUCAACAAUCCGACAAGUUGUAUCAGAGCCAGAGCUCACAGAUUUAAUUCCUGCAUGCUGCAAAUGUGCGCAGGUGCUGGAGGGGGGAUUGUUGGCUUAAAUGGGCCAGCAUCCUACCCUGUGGCAGGAGGCCAUAUGGGCCGAGUCAUGUUCGAAAUGGCGUGAGGCUGGGUUGGGCCGAGCCAUGCUCAAAGUGGCGUAAGGCCAGGUGGGCUGAGUCACAAUCGAGAUCCGUGGGCACUGUUUCUGUACGCUUUAAGUGAAUUGGUUGCGUAUUUCUAACAGCUCGAGUUUUUGGGAUUAAUGGUUAGCGUCAACAAUCCGACAAGUUGUAUCAGAGCCAGAGCUCACAGAUUUAAUUCCUGCAUGCUGCAAAUGUGCGCAGGUGCUGGAGGGGGGAUUGUUGGCUUAAAUGGGCCAGCAUCCUACCCUGUGGCGGGAGGCCAUAUGGGCCGAGUCAUGUUCGAAAUCGCGUGAGGCUGGAUUGGGCCGAGUCAUGUUCGAAGUGGCGUGAGGCCAGGUGGGCCGAGUUACAAUCGAGACCCGUGGGCACUGUUUCUGUACGCUUUAAGUGAAUUGGUUGCGUAUUUCUAACAACUCGAGCUUUUGGGAUUAAUGGUUCGCGCCAACGAUCCGACACGUUAUACUUGAUCUAUACUAUUAAAAGUAUUUAGAAACUAAAUAAUUUUUCGAUACCAUUUGAAAUACCUAUCAAACAAGUAGUCUAAAAUUGAACGGCUGAAAAUAAAAAUCUCAUAAAAAAUGAUGAUAAAAGAUUUAAAUUCAAGAUCAGAUAUACUGAUCUUACUCUAAAUAGUGAAAAGAAUUUUUCAUAAAAUUUUCAUCAGAUUUGAAUUGUUUUACACCGUUAAACUCUCAAACACACCACAUCGGCCAUUAAAAUUGUCAAUUUUGUGAUCUUUUGAUCACUAGUCAAAUGAUGUCGAAAAAAAUCUGAAAUUUAGUUUUCAAAUACUUUCAAUAGUGUAGAUCAGGUUUAACGUAAUCGAUCGUCGAUUUGAAAGUCGCAUCAUCAAAAACAACUUGGUAGUACGGAGCGCUCCGUGCUACCGACAGUGUAGUAGCCGGACUUAUAUAUAUAUAUUAUUAUUAUUAUUAUUAUUAUGUAUAUAAUGAUGGGAUUGGAUUUGACUUCGACUUUGCCUUUAGAAAGAGAUUUAGUGAGUAUCCAAGUAGAAUUGGAUUUAGUCUAAAAAAUAAAAAAAUUCGAUGAAAAAAAUAAGAAUUUUUUUAAAAAAACGGUGCGAUGAAAAAGAAAAGUUUUUUUGUUUUACCCGCUACUAUUUAUGUAAUUUAUUAUCUUUUUUUUAUUUUUAUUAUUUUGUUUUGUGCAUUCUCUUGUCUACCUUCCACUAUUGUGAGUCCACACCACGUGCACUCACAUAUUUUUAGGGUUAAUUACAUAUAGUUUUUAAUAAAUUAUCGAAUAUAUUACUACAAAAUUUAAUUUUUUAUAUUUAUUCUUGUAAAAAUUCGGUGAUAUUUAUAUUCCCAUCUGGUUUGUUACCGUUAGAGAUUGUUUAUUUUUUAAUAGCAGAUAGGUGAAAUAAUAUUUUUGCUCUUACAAAUAUAUUUUUUCAAAAGCCCAAGUAUUAAAAUUAUGCAGAAAUAUCCUUUCAAAAAAAUAUUUUACUUAAUAAUAUAAGAUGAGUAAAAAAAUCAAUUUAACUCAUUCACUAAUCAGAGUUAAGUAUUUCACUUAUGGUUAAUUAUAUUUUUCCCACGGAUUCUAGCAGUAGAGAUAUAUUUAAAAAUAGUAGUACUUUUGCAGAAAUAAAAAUAAAAUGUUAAACUUUGUAGAAAUAUAUUGCUAUUCAAUAUGUUCACAUAAAAUUAUAUGGAAUUAACCUUGUUUUUUAUUAGCCCUACUUUGACAUCAGCUCGCCCCAAAGUCCCUAGAAGUUAAAAGUCUAUUUGUUUGGGUAAAAAUGGAGAGGGGUGAAAUCGUUUUCCACUAUAAGCAAUCACUUUCGCUGUUUGUUUCGUCGUAAUAAAGAUACGAUCGAAACUCAAGUUGUCCGUAACAGACCGAAGUCAAUUACGGUGAGAAAAGAUGAACAGAAAAAUAAUAAAAUAAUACAAUGAAUAAUGCUAGUUAUAUUUAAAUAUAUUUAAUUAUGAGACUAAUUAUUUUUUUAUUUAGUUUGUAUAUUUAAAAUAUGAUAAAAUUUGAUUAGUUAAGUUUUAAUAUUUUCUUCAUUUAGUUUGUAAUUUAAAAUAUGAUGAGAAUUUAUUAGAUAAGUAUUUAUAUACUAUUUUACUUUAUUCUAUUGUUAUAUUAUUAUUAUAAUUUAUGUAUAAAAAGUAAUUUAGUUGUUUUAAAUUAAAUUUUUUAAUUAUAUAGAAAUAUAAUUAUAUUGUUUUAUUUAUUAUAUUAUAAUUUAUUAUUUAUUAAGUUAUUUAUUAUUUAUACAUAAAUUAUAAUUUUAGAUCACUCACUUUUUGUCAAACAUACAGCAGAACUAAAAAAAACUUACUUUCAUAACUAUGAAACAGCAGGAGAUAAGUAGUUUUUACCGAACUCCACUUCAAUCCAAAAUCUACUUCAGCCCAAAUUCUAAUUUCAGUGAAACAAACAUACCCUAGUGUAUUUAAGGUUGCAAUUGGUGGAACCCAAAGUGGACAAUGGAAAGUUGGGAUUUAUGAAUUAUUAUAGGGCUUUUUUUGCUUUUAACCAUCUCAGAAAAAAAAAAAUUUCCACAAAUAACCUCAUAAAAAUUAUAUUUACAAGAUUAACCUUAUCCUCGCCACACGAGCGCGACGUGUGUUAGGUUGGUUAAGUUGAACACAGUAAAUCAUUCAUCGUGUUUGGACACGACGAAUGAUUCAUCGUAUCUUUUUCACAUUUUACUUAUACCGUGUUCUUUUCACAUUCACCAUUUUUAUUGUAUUAUAAAUUAAAUUGAACACAGUAAAUCAUUCAUCGUGUUUGGAUAUAGUGAAUGGUCCGUCGUGUUCAACUUAAAUUCUGGAUUGUUAGUCACGCUCAUGUGUUGCUUGCGUGGUAGGGAUAAGGCCAAUUGUGCAAAUAUAAAUUUUAUGAUGCUAUUUACGAAAUUUUUUUGAGAGGCUAAAAGCAAAAAAAAAAAGGCCCAUUAUUAUAUUAUUUAUUUGAUGACUUUUUAACCCUUAUUAAAUGUAGUGGUGCUAGAUCUAUGCUGUGUACAAGUAGCGUUUUUCUUUCCCAAGUCCCUAGCUCCGAGAUCUAAACAUAAUCUUUUUCAUUUUAACUGGAGACUUUUGGACAUGAAAAAUACUAGGUAUUACUUACAAUAUUAUUUAAGUAAAAUCAUACACAACAUACUUGAACAUCGGACAAUUUUAAUUUAGCUAUCUAAUUUUUUAAAAUUUUAAUUUUAUUAUUCAAUCUUUCGAUUUGUUUGAUUUGGGCUAGGCAACAACACUUUAAUUUUAGAAUAUGAUUGUGUUAUUUAUCUUUACAAUUUUAGUUAGUAUCCUUCAAACAAUUCUCGCAACUAUAAAUUCGAUAAAUUAAGUUAUUAGCUUAAAUUUUGAAGUAAAAAAUAUCAUUGGCCAGUUCAAAUCAAACAAAUUAAAAUGUUGGAUAGUAAAAUCAAAAUUUCGAAAUGUUGAACAACCGAUUCAAAAUAGUUUAUAAUUCAGAUAUAUUCUAUACGUUUUUACCUAUUAUUUAUUGUAAAUUUCUUGUAAUAUUUUUAAACUGCUUGUCGCCAUGCUUGAGCAAAUCAAAAUUUCAUACACCCAACGGAAUCCCAGCCUUGAUUUGUAGCUGGUAGGAAAGCAGCCAAAUCCGUCCCUCAAUUGCAUCUCCCAGUACUUACUUUUUGAAAGAAAAAUAGCAUGCUAUCUAUAACGUCCCAACUUUUCAAGGAGCUAUUCAUUCUAGAACUAUUCUAGUCCUAACACGCUUAAUUUUUUUAAUCUCUUAGGCUUAUCCACCGUACAAAAUGUUAUAGUCGGGUCAAGAGUUUUAGUUUUAUUAUAUCUUAUAUAUAGAACUAUCUGAGAUUUUAUACUAUUUGUUUCGUGUUUUUUAAGAAACAAAUUUAGUUGAAAAUAUGAAUUAGCUAGGCUUCGAACUUUGAAUCUCGGAUACCCCAUCAUCAAGCCCUUUGCCUUUUGUACUAGGCACGGUCGGCCAUCUUACAGUGCUUGACCUGACAGUUGUAAAGAAGAACUCCUAUAAAUAUGUAAACCAAAGUGUAGCUUCCCCAGUACAUUAGAAAAAUGUAAGAGAAAUAAUAUUUGUACAUCCCAAAAAACAGUACAGACAUAAACAUUUCUCAUUCUUAAAUUCAUAAAACCUUUUGAAUUUUUGAUAUUAAAAAAAAAAGUCAAAAUAUAAUGUGAAACAGCUACAGUAUAAAUCAGUUACUGUCGAAAGGUUGCAUUGAGUACCCAAAAGUCUAAAAUCAUCUUCUACGGUGUCUGUUGAAGGUCCUUAAUUUCUUUGGAAUCCUUGUCUUCAUUUCUAUUAAUGUUUAUUUUGAAAAUAUGAUUGAAACCUUUUUUUUCUAAGAAAUUUUUUCAUGGUACAAAAUUUGCCACAUAGCUAGAUUAUCUAAUUCAAAGGUUUAAAUUUUACAUGCAUCCCAAUCAGGCGUGUCCUCCGCGCUAUUUCUUUUUCGUAGAAGUAUUGUUACUGCUAUCAAUCCAAGUCAAACUGCUGGUACCGGUCAAUGCAUCCUACUAUUUGUAAGUACAUAAUUUUUUUUUUUUUUUGAGAAUCGGUAGCACGCUACCUACUUCAUUCAUUGAAUAAGUGAAUUAGGCUACAGAGGUGGGGCAACCAGGGCCCCAAAUAGAGAAAAAAAAAAAAAUCAUAGAUUGUCUUUCCAAGAAUCAAUCAAGUACUUGAGCCUACGCGCCGCUAAUAUGGGGUCAAACUGAAUGUCAUGAAAGAUAAAGUUGUUCCUCGCCUUCCAAAUGGUCCACCAGCAUGCGGCCAAUUCAGAUAGACCGUCCCUUCUACUUUGUAAGUACAUAAAUUAUAGAUAAUUUUUCAUGGUGCAACCUUGUAGAGGUGAGCAAAUCAACCAUAAAUGGUGUGUUCAUAACAUCAGAGUGGGUAGCAUGCUAUCUUUUUCUCACAAAAAAAAAAAAAAAAAAAAAAAAAAGGAAAAAAAAAAAAAAAAAACAUCAGAGUGGUGCUUUUGUUUGAAACUAGAGUUCCGCUCAAAUGAAAGAUCUCCAACAAAAAGAAAUUUUGAAACUAUAUUUUAACAGUUCAUUGUUUUCUUAAACAUACCUAAAUCGAUCGUGAUCUGAAUGGUGAAAGAGCACGCAAAGUUUUUCAUAAUUUGCGUGCAACAACCGCUGGUUAAUUUACGAGAUUGGCUAAAUAAGGUGAGAAUGAAAUUGUUUUAUUAGAGUCGCUUAAUUUAAUACUGCUUUUUAAUUUCUCCUAGCAUAAUUUUUUUGGGGAUGGAUUACGCCCAAGACAUAGAAUAAUUAUUCAAUGAGAGGAAAUUAAAUAAAGGUAGGAGCUCUACCAAGACCCAAGCUUAAAAUUUCAUGCUCUGAUAUAAAAGUGAGGCUGGUAUGCUUAUGGAGGCACACGGAGCCUUCCGUGCUUUCAAGUCGUUUUCGAUGUUAGGACUUUCGAAUCAACAAUCGGCUCUAUUAGACUUAAUCUAUAGUAUUUGAAAUAUUUAGAAAAAUAAAUUUCACAAUUUCUUGAUAUUAUUUACCUAGUAAUCGAAAGAGUUCAAAAUCAAUGGCUGAAAAUAAAAAUAUUACAAAAUAUGAUGAUAUGACAUUAACAUUUUAGAUUAAAGAUAAUGAUAUUAUUUUAUAUAGUAUGAAGAAUUUUUUAUCAAAAUUUUGCGUGAUUUGAAUAUUUUUACACAGUUAAACUUGCAAACGGCUCACCGCGAUUAUUAAAAUUAUUGAUUUUUGACCCCUUCGAUCACUAUGCAAAUGAUAUUGAAAAAUUAUGAAUUUAUUUUCUAGCUACUUCAAAUACUUUAGAUGAGGCCUAACGGAGCUGAUCGUCAAUUUGAAUGUCCCAACAUCGAAAAUGACUUGGAAACACGAAGCUCCGUGCUUCCGGACGUAUACCGGCCUCACUCCAGAUAUAAUAUCAAAAAUAUAUAAAAUAAUUAUUUUUUCUAAAAAUUUAAUAUAUUAAAAAGUGAUAUCUUCUGUUUUUUUUUUAUAUUCAAAAGAUAUUAGGAAAACAGUCGUAGAGGGACAAAGGUGCAUGUUAUUUAAUUAAGCAGUCAACCUACUUAAUUAUGCUUCGAUUUUCUAAGGGGUGUAUUUUUUAUUUUUUUAUUUUUUUUGAGAGAUAGAUAGCACGCUAUCCGCUUAUUUUAUUUUAGAAAGAAAUUUAACUGAAAAUAUGAAUCAACUAGGAUUCGAACUUGGGUCUCGGGUACCAACCACCAAGCCCUUUACCACUUGUUCUAUGAACGGUCGGUCUAAGGGGUGUAUAUUAAUUGUUUGGUGCAUUACUAUAUGCAUUUUAAUAUUUUCCAAACCUAACUUUUCUUAUCCACCUGCCAAAUUGGAGCUUGAUUACAUGCUAGAUAUUAUGAAUGUAUCAUCAAGCAUCAAAUUAUGAGCUUUACUUUAAAAAAGCUCCACAUCUCAUUACUGGGUUGCAGAGGAUAUAUAUAUAUAUAGUCCAGUUGGAAUAAUGACACUAUAUUACUGGAGCCCGAUAAUAUAGAUAGUAUAGAAGUCAUAAUAAUAUAUACUCUAUUUUAUAAAUAUAAGUAAGAACAUAUCAAUCGUACCUGCAGCAAAGUGCGGAUGAAUUGCUAGUUCGAUUCUAAACAACAAAAUAUACAUUCAUUCAGUUCCUGUUAGGAACAACAAAUAUACAUGGAUUCAGGUUCAAGUUAGGAAUUUGUAUUUGUAUUUUCGCCGGGAAUAGCUGACAAAAGAUGGCUGAUUUUGAGUGGUUCAUGAAUAACUGCGUUUACAGCACUCACCAUUUCCUUUGCAGAUGUAAAUCCAUCAGUGUUCAUGUAGAAUAGGUGAAGUAUUCUGCACAUCUUCCAAAAUAAGUCCUUGCAACUUCGAGGAAUUACAGAUCCCUCCUUCAGCACCAGCCUUAGCAAUUCUCUCCGAGAAGUUUCGACAGAUCUCUUGAGCUCCCUUUGAGCCUCUUCUACAGAGAUGGAAGAGUCGCUAUGAACAACGCGGAGCGAGAUGCUGUUCAACUUUCCUUCUUUACAUUCUCUCUGCACCAAUUUAAAGUAAUUAGUGUCCAAAUGAUAAUGAUCAAAGACCACGAUGAGCUUGAAGAGAAUGUGGGGGAACAAAAUUAAGGCUUUACAAGGACAGGAAUUCGCCUCGUCCAAUCUAUUUGUGCUACUAAAUAUUGCACUUCCUCCAAUCUAUUUCUGCUACUAAAUUUUGCACUUACUGCUUGUAUUACCUCGUAACCUUGCACGUCGUUUAGAAGACGGCCGCAUGUGCUCACAAGUCUGAACAAUUCAUGGUACUCUGGAUCUGCGAUCGCCUCUUCGGAGAGCUUUGGACCAACAAUGUAGAGUAACGAGAGAACGGUAGGGCCCAAAGCAAGGGAAAAAAUUCCAUUUUCCAUGUACUGCUCCGUCGUGGGUACCGUUUUCUUCCUCAGCCACUCUGCUUCGUUCAUCAUGGACCUCAUCAUACUAAGCCACUGUUGUUAAUUUGCAUUGCUAUGUGUCAAAAUCUUUUUAGAAUAAAUUGUUCGGUUUUCAUAUAAUCUAAUUCAUGGGGGAAGUUGGUUUUCUGUUUACAAAAGGAUUUUCUGAAGAGAAGCAUCUUUGCGAGUGUUGUAUAUGUAAGAAGUCGUGUUUUGGAAUGGUGUUUUCGUAUUUUGCAGGAAUGUGUAGGCGAUUUUGCAGUGGUAUAUAUGUAAAUGUCUGAAUUCAGUAAGCUGUUAGAUCUCACUAUUUCUACUAGAUGGCCGGUGACGCUACGAUUUUGUACUGCUGAUGCCUUAGCUCCAAGCUCGUUGAUUGUGCUGUGAAGCGCAGAAAAUAUAAUCUCCACGUGCUCAGAGCAAAACUCUUUUUCGUGAUUUCCAUCCCAUCUGUCACAAGUACAAACGUGCUUAAAGAAAAUAAUGUUGUAAAAUAAUCUCAGAAAAAUUGCGGAUCACAAAUAUAAGCAAGGACGAUCGUACUUCUCAACUAAACUGAUGAGGUUUUUUAAUUCUUCGAUUGAUCCACCUACGUCGAAGAAGUCGUCAACCACAGUGGUGAGCAGACUAUUUUUGGCCCAUAAAAUGCGACCAUCGGUUAAUUCGGGAGAACAUAGAGUAGCAGCAGCAGAGAGGUAACAGUAUGUUAUUUUAUCCCGAGCAAAUCCUAGCUGAUCCAACCGGUUUUCUCUGACCCAGCUGUUAAAAUCACAAAUUUAGAUUAGGAAAGCACAAUGCUGGCGUUAAAUGUAAUAAAAAUAAGGAACUUGCUUUUGCAUGUGCAGUCAACAAAAGCAUAUUUCUGAUAGUGGAAGGGCGUAUAGACACAUAUUGGAUAUUCAAAGGACAUUGGCAACAAUUUCAACUUAAGAAGGGUCUGCGAGCAAACGAGUAUAUUUUGAGAGAUAUUUAUGCAACAAAAUAACCUUAAAAGGAGAAUCCAUAAGAUGGACAGACCUCUGAAGAUGUUGAAGUUCUUUCCGGUAUAUAGACUGACAGCUACUGAAAUCUUCAACAGCCAAUUUAAGAAGAUCAUCAGAAGUCCAGAAAGACCUGAUUCAGUUCAGAAGCAGAAAUUACUGGCAGAAAUCCAAAAAUCAGAAAAAAAACGUUUUUAUCCUAUUUAUGAUUAAAUUCUUACUUAUAUGAUGUUUUGAGAAUCUGAUAAUUGGCAACAUCGAAGUGCUCAAUGUUUCUCUUGUGUUCUAAGCGUUCCAAAUUGGCGUAAAAGGGAAAUUUAAGAACAUAAUCUGCCUGAAAAUAUAAAAUAGAAUUAGUUUCAACUCUCAAUCAGACAACUAGAAUUUUUUUCCCCCAAAAAAACAUAUUAAGACUAUCAAAUACCUACCUCUUGGGAGAUAACUCGGGAAGAAUGUUUUGAAUUAGAAGAUACUUCCUCUUUUAGGAAACUACUGGACCAGGAACCCAGUUUAUCUAAGACUUGUUCACAGUCCAGGAUUUUAAUCUGUGAUGCCUUGUGAAAUUCUAGAACAGUUUUCAUAUCUUUCAGAUAUCCUUGCAUGGAAUUAUGGAAAUUGUGUGCUUCAGCAUAGUGAGAUAGCCUAUCUGCACCAUCGUCAGCAAUAGAUUAAAAACUCAUCGGCGUAAAAUACAUGUGUAGAUAACCAAGAUUCCGAAAGCUAGUUCCAUCUGGGCCCAAACUACCUGAGGAAACAUCAUAUCCGUUCAUACGCAAAAGACAAAAUGCCAUAGCACAUGCAGCCAUAUCCAAACUAAGUUCCUCAUCGUUCUCCAACCAGCAUCUGCAUAUUAGAUGGCGACAGCGGGUAAAAAUCUUGAGAUACUGCACAUAUCUCAACUUAAGGAUAUUUUUGUAAGGAACUCCACUCUAAAUGGGGUGUAUGAAAAUUAAGAUUAUAACAAGGGGUACGUAUGUGUAAAAAGAUCAUUUUGCAGAAAUACCUCUAUAUAUAUUUCUAAAACUGCAAUUCAUAUUUAGAAGCUAUUUCUAGCGUAAUACCUGUAUAUUCUGUCCAAGAUGGUCUUUAUCUCAUAAGCAAACAGCCGAGAAAUUCCCAACUUUUCAAGAGUGUCGACCAUGCAAAGCUGCGUAUGCAUCUCAAACGGAUAAACGGUAGGAACUGCAGAAAGGAAAAUGAUAUUAGAAAUACCGUAGCAUUUCCACAUAUGCGACGGACAAAAUUUAUCGAUUAGAGAGUAGACUCGAAUCCACCUGAACUGCCAAACCGCCGUAAAAUAGCAUGCAGGUAGUCAAGAGCUUUAACAUCAUAACGAUGGGUCAAUGCAACAGCUGUUGUUGCAGGUGAAUUGAACAACGAUCCGUUCUUCCUCUGAUACUUCAUAACCUCAUUCCAGUCCUGCAAAUUCCCUAAUCCUUCGGAUACAUACGCCAUGUACGCUUUUCGUCCCUCGGAAUUGUUUGCAGAAUCCCUAAAAAAUCAAUAAUACCGAUCACAACAUAAAUGCCAUUUACAAAAAAAUGUGCAUCCUGAGUGAAAUUAAUGAUAUAAGAUUCUGUUAAAUAUAAAAAUGUUUAAAUACCGUUCUCUAAUAGCUUAAGUUCUUAGAGUAUAACGGUUGUUUCACAGAUUCAAACAAAAUUUACAUUGGAAUAACCAGGGAGCCUGACCUUUUCAAUUCUAAAUCUCGAAGGCAAAGAAUAUCCUGAAUAGCAUGCUGUCUUAUGGGAAUAUCUAAACCCAAAUCGAUUGCACGUUCAAGCAUGCCAGGGAAAAUGAUAUUGAAGCCAACAGGAGACUGAUAAUUCUCAUCCUUAAUACAUGACAAAUUAGAUCCAAUAUAACGUAGCCCUGCAAUUAGCCCAACAAAAAAAUGAAGCUUCUUAAUCCAUUGAGCAAAACGCAAUGUUAAUGAGUAAAUGUUCUGUUUCUUAUUACCUCGUCUUACAUGCUCUUCACCCACAUUCCAACGCUUGAGCGCGAGUACACAUGCCAAUGUGGAAGAUAGAGCAUCUUUCAUCAAAGAGGGAUGAAUAUGGUCAAGUCCCCAGGAUCCAUUAGAAUUUUGAUUUUGUAACAUCCAAUCGACGCACUGAGGGAAGCACGGAGUUUGAGGAGAUCCAGGAGAAGGGACCAUGGCUACCCAUGCCGUGUCAUACGAAGAAACUGAAUAUUCGACCUUACUUAGCUGCUCCCUUAUUCGUUUCUCCGAUUCCCUGGAACACUACAGCCACGUCUAAUAAGAUGCUUAAUUCGACCACAAUUUUAUCGUAUGGUUGUGUCGAAAUAACAUGGGAUCAAUAAAUCCAAUACCAUUACUGAAAGGUUCGCACUGUUUGCUACUUUCGCAUCAUCCAAAUUUGCUGUAUACAAAAACGAAGCAGUCGGCACUCCGCAAAAGAGAAAUAAAUGUAACACUAGAGCAAGUGAAAUAUGCAAAUGUCUUUUCAUGAUAAUCCCAACCAACCUAGUUAGAAGUUGUCGUGAUAUAACUAGAUCUAAUACAUGCUGCAAUUUGAAGAUAGUCCCAUAUUUGGCAUUUAACAUAUUCUUCUUAAAAAAAACAAUACACAUAACUUUAAUUGUCUUAUUGAGACAUAUGUAACCCCAAAUUUUCACAAAUGUUACAAGUAAGAAUCUUAGGGUGAUGGAGUGUUGGGGAAAGAACGGGUGGAAGUGGAGCAAAAUCCUGUCUGGUUUUUUGCCUACCUCUCAACAGGACAGACAACUAAUCCUGAAACUUAAAGAGUCGAUCGUCGAGACCCUGGUUCUUAAUGGAAAGGACGGAGUUAGGUGGAGAUGGGAUCGAUCCGACAUGUUCUCUAUGAAAUCCAUGUAUAAUUUUUUUCAGGACGGCGAAAUACAUGUCAGGCACUUUAACCACCUUUGGAGGAGUUGCUCCCCUCUGAAAGUUAAGAUUUUUGUGUGGCUAGCCUUAAAAAGAAAAGUAUCCAUAGUAAAUAACCUCUUAAAAAGGGGGUGGAGUGGUGAAGAAAGUUUUGUCUUUUUGUCACGUCCCAAUAGUCUCACAUCGGAUGGGGAUUCUAAUUUCGAUCGGUAUAUAUGAGACCUCGCACGCUAGUAAUAAUAACUAGACUUAAGCAUUUUGAGCUGAUGGAUUGAGCCCAACGAGUUAUUGUUGCUAGCGGGUCGGGUCGUUGCAAUUGGUAUCAGAGCCGAAUACCAGCCAGAAGUGUGAGAGCUAAGUGUUAUGCUGGACAAAGUGCUACACAAACGAAUUUGGUGGGAGCCACCUCUUGAACCCGUAGGAGCCACCUCUAGCCAAAGUACUAAAGCCCGGCCCACGACUUUGCUCCCAAAUAAACAGUACCUCCCUUACUGUUCGUCUAUCUGCCGGCUAUGGCACGAAAGCAGCCUUAAAGGCGGUGUGCUAGGAAGGAGGGAGGUGACGAUGGUUAUCACCACAUGGUAGGUCGCCUGGCUGGAAAGAAAUUGCCGUAUUUCGGUUUUUUUUUUCAGAGAGCAAUACGACAAUUUUUUUUUUUUUCGGACUCAGGUUGUCUCAUUAUAUAGCUGAGUUCACUCUCUAAAUGAAUGAAGUGCUAGCAUGUUAUUUUUUCUCAAAAAAAAAUGUAAAUAAUAUAAUUUAAUGCCACAUUUACUUGUAUAAUAGCAACAAUUGAAUAUCAAUAUUAAAAGCAUCAUACUCUCUUACACAAGUAUUUCGUAAUCACAACGAUAGGAAAGCUAAGUUAGCAUAUUUCAAGAAAACUAUACAUGAGAUGUAGAAUAGAACGCAUCACAUUUCCUUUCAUACACAAAAAAAUUUAACUUAAAAAAUUGUUCUACCUGACGAAACUCGCGGAAGAGAUGCUCGAACUGUUUUUUUAGCUCUAACUCUAGAAAUUUGAAUAUCCGUAGAUUGGAUGCAGCACAGGGGAAAUGAGAGAGCAUUUAACGACAUGGCCACUCAGGUUUAUGUGAAAUGGCGAUCUAGGAUGAGAUAGCAGCAAACUAAGAGGCAUCAAAUUAUGAUUAAGAAUUUUCGAGAAAAAUACUGCAAGGGAAAAGAAAGCAUAGCAGAAGAAAGAAUCUAACCAAUUAAGUAGAUAGAAUUUAAAAUAACUCAAUUAAGGAUAGAACAAUCAAAGUAAAUCAAACUAAUGCAUCGUUAUAAAAGGUGGCGAAACGGACUGUCCCUAGCGCAAGUUGCAAAAGGCUCGGUGGUUGAUACCCGAGGUCCCAAAUUCGAAUUAUAGUUAAUUCACAUUUCCAGCUAAAUUUAUUUCUAAAUAAUAUAAACAAAGCAAAUAACAUGCUACUUGUCUCUUUAAAAAAAAAAAAAAAGGAAAAAAUGUACAUGAACCCUCUCGUUGUCCAUUUUACUUUUCGUUGGCAUUCCUUUGGUUUUUACUUUUUUUUCAUUUAGCGUGUGUUUGGUUCCACGUAAAAUUGUAAAAAGAAAAUUUGGUGGAAAAUAAUUUCGGUGAAAAAAAAUUUUACGUCGUUUAAUGUUUGAUUUGUAGGAAAAAAAAAUAGUUUUUCAUGACGGUUGUUUAUUUUUAAAAAAAAUUAUAAAUAAAAAAUUAUUAAUAUAUAUAUUUUUAUUUUAUAUUAUUAAUAUAUAAUUAUUAUCAUAUUACAUAUAGUAGUAUUAUAGUUUAUAUUUAUAAAUAAAAUAUAUUUAAAAUAUAUUAUGCAAUAAUUAAGUAUGUAAUAUAAUAUAUAAUAGUAUAUAUUUAAUACUAUAAAAUAACAUUAAUAGAAUUUUAUAAAUAAAAUAUUUUAUUAAUAAAAUUAUUUAUAUUAAAAAUAAAUACCAUCUUUAUAUAUAUAUAUAUAUAUAUAUAUAUAUAUAUAUAUAUAUAAUAUAAAAAAAAGAUGGGGGAGUUAGAGAGAUCGACGGUCGACCUCUCUCUCGCAGUCCACAAGGUGGGGCAUGCUUCUGGACCGCGCGCCAGGAAUGCAAAACAGGCCGGGCGGCCCGUGGGGCGGCGGCCCGGUACGACUGCAGGCCGGCCUAAACACGUCACCGAUACUGUAGAUUUCGUGCCUGACCGGCCGACCAGGUAUCAUGGGCUGUUUUAGGCCGGUAGAACUGAUCCGUAGGCCGGCAAGGCACGGCCUGUUACAGGUAUGGGGCGUGCCGGGCCGAUGGUUUAGCGUGCGGCCCGGCACGGCAUGGCCCGUAUGGGCCGUGCCUGCCGGCCAGCACGGCCCGACCCCGGGGCUCGUGGGGAGUUGGGAGCCUCCCACUCCCGAGCCGCGAACACUGGGACUUGGGGAGCCAGGUUGGCUCCCCAAGUCCCAAUGAGCCUACGGCCCUAGGCCCUUUUGGGAGAUGGGCCCUAGGCUCUUCUUGGGAGGAAAAAUUUUUAAAUUAAAAUUUCAAACUUUUAUUUAAAAAUUUAGUAUUUUAUAAAUAUUUUAAUAAAUUUUGUUUCUUAGCCCACAUAUAAGCAAAAAGAGGCUUAUUUUAUUUUUUAAAUUUUAAAUAUUUUAUAUAUUUAAAAAGUUAAAAAUAUUAAAGGGCCGGCCCGGAGCCCGUUCCGGCCCGGCACGGCCCGAGCCAUCCGGGCUGGAGGGCUGUGCUGGGCCGGUCAUCCAUAUAAUCUGGCCCAGCAUGACACGGCCCGGCUUCUAACCGGGCCCGGCCGGGCCAACUCCUGGCCUGAUUUGGCCCGGGUGAAUGUGGCCCGUGCCGGGCCGACACGGCCCACAUUACACCCCUACUCCCUCCCAAUGCCACAAUUUUUGGGUGUUGGUUUUCGUUUUUCGGUCGUUUCGAGCAAAAAACAAAAAUACCUGUUUUCCUUGUAAAUUGUAAAAAAAAAAUUCUUUUGCGAGCAAACAAACACUCGGAAUCUUAUUUUUUCACCGAAACUUUUUUUUCAGGAUAAUUUUAUGACGAACCAAACAUAUCCUUAAUUGUUACUAUAAGUUAAGCCAUUUGGGUUCAAAGCUUUUAAUAUUUCAAAAAUAUUGUACAUCUUUUUAUUUUAUAUUUGAAAUGACAAAUUCGUUACUAAAGGAUGAAGUUAUUUGAAUUGGGAGGUUAUUAAAAAUUAGUAUAUUAUUAUUAAUAAAUUAUUUAUAAUUUAUAUUAAAUAUGAAAAUAAAAAUACCUCCUAAUCUAUAAUAACCUAAUAUUUAUACUAUCUAUAAGGAAUUUGCACGGAUUUUAUUACUUCACUAAUACCAUUUAUUUAUAACUAUGAAAUGUGUAUUGAAUAAUAAUGACAUGAAUAUUCUCAGUAAAAAAAUAAAAUAUUACAAAUCGUAAACCAAACAAAUCCUUGUAGUAAGGAUUAGCUGUCAUAUUUGAUUAUGUGUCGACGACCGGUAGCUAAAAGAGCUAUUAAUUUCUGCAGAACCCCUAUCUAAAUAGAUAAAAUGAUUCAAAUAAAAAAAAAAAAAUUUAAAGCUGAGAGGUUUCAAUAAUUAAAAAACAAAACCAAAAAUUUGACGGUUCUAAAGGCUCUAUACAUGCGUCCAUGGCCAAGGAGAGAGAGAGAGAGAGAGAGAGAGAGGUUGCUGCGCUACCUGUUUAAUUUGUGUUCACUACGAAGAAGUAAACGGAGUGGCGAAGAAGAGAGCUUGAGGGGUAAAUAAAAGAAGGUGUGUGUGUGUGUGUGUGUGNNNNNNNNNNNNNNNNNNNNNNNNNNNNNNNNNNNNNNNNNNNNNNNNNNNNNNNNNNNNNNNNNNNNNNNNNNNNNNNNNNNNNNNNNNNNNNNNNNNNNNNNNNNNNNNNNNNNNNNNNNNNNNNNNNNNNNNNNNNNNNNNNNNNNNNNNNNNNNNNNNNNNNNNNNNNNNNNNNNNNNNNNNNNNNNNNNNNNNNNNNNNNNNNNNNNNNNNNNNNNNNNNNNNNNNNNNNNNNNNNNNNNNNNNNNNNNNNNNNNNNNNNNNNNNNNNNNNNNNNNNNNNNNNNNNNNNNNNNNNNNNNNNNNNNNNNNNNNNNNNNNNNNNNNNNNNNNNNNNNNNNNNNNNNNNNNNNNNNNNNNNNNNNNNNNNNNNNNNNNNNNNNNNNNNNNNNNNNNNNNNNNNNNNNNNNNNNNNNNNNNNNNNNNNNNNNNNNNNNNNNNNNNNNNNNNNNNNNNNNNNNNNNNNNNNNNNNNNNNNNNNNNNNNNNNNNNNNNNNNNNNNNNNNNNNNNNNNNNNNNNNNNNNNNNNNNNNNNNNNNNNNNNNNNNNNNNNNNNNNNNNNNNNNNNNNNNNNNNNNNNNNNNNNNNNNNNNNNNNNNNNNNNNNNNNNNNNNNNNNNNNNNNNNNNNNNNNNNNNNNNNNNNNNNNNNNNNNNNNNNNNNNNNNNNNNNNNNNNNNNNNNNNNNNNNNNNNNNNNNNNNNNNNNNGGUUUCUAGUAUAGAGCUCCCAAAAUGCAGGUUGACUCGGCGGUCGCACUGUUCAUUUUCCUGUAUGAAUAGAAUUAAUAGUGGUGUGAUGUUGAGGAAGUGGUUGCGAUGGCAUCGAUCCCGUCAUGUGCGAGUGGGAGAUGUUGGCAUUCGGUUAAAUCGAAUCGGGUACGCCCAUAAGCGGGUUCGAUCCGACGGAUAUUAUGUUAUCUAAUUGGAUUAGGAUUAAUCUCGCUUUCAAAUUGGAAAGUUGGUUAGAGAUAAAUCCUAGUCAUAUUAGGAUAACAAUUAAUAACCGAUUUGGCCUUAUCUCUAACGCCAUAAGGAUCUUGGAAUCCCUUAUAAAUAUGCGGGCGAUCCCACAUAACGUAAUACACGGAAAGAACGGAAACAGAGAGAGAAUAAGAAAAUAAUAGCGAGAAACCACAUCCUCCAUUGACCUAUUAUUCUAGAGGGACUUGCACGGUGGAUUUGCGAUCGCGCUCGUUUGUAGUUCGAUCCACCGCGAGUUCGAAGAGUUAGAAGAUUUUCAAGGACGAUCCGAGGACACGUGAAUCAAUCUAAACGAUCCGGGCUCAUCGCGUUCUAGCGCGAAUCGCUUCCGCAAAAAGGUACGAACGAAUAAUUCCGCUGCGUUCUACAAUAUAAAAUGGUGGGAUUGGAUUUGUCUUUGCCUUUAGAAAGAGAUUUAGUAAGUAUCCAAGUAGAAUUGGAUUUAGCUUAGAGUUUUAAUAAUCUAUUAAUUAACUAAUUUUUUUAUUUUUUAAAAAAAAAUUAAAAAAAUGCGAUUAAAAAAAUAAGAAUUUUUUAAAAAACGGUACGGACUUUUCUUAUCUAAGAAAAAGAAAAGUUUGCGAGUCCGGUAUUUUGUUUUGACCCGAUCCCAGUGUUUAUUUAUUAUUAUUAUUAUUAUUAUUAUUAUUAUUAUUAUUGUGUAUUUGCUUGUAAACCUUCCAUUAUUUUGACUUGUAAGUUGUAAGCCCAGACCUGCUUGGACUGGCAUAUUUUUUAGGAUUAAUUACAUAGUAAAUAUAUUAAAUAGCAAAUAUAUUAUUAUAAAAUUUAAUUUUUUAUUUUUAUUCUUACAAGAGUUCAGUAAUAUUUAUAUUCCUAUCUGUUUUGUUAUCAUUAAAGAUCGUUAAAGAUUGUUUACUUUUAAUAGCAGUAGAUAAAAUAACAUUUUUCUCUUUACAAAUAUAUUCGUUCAAAAGCUCAAUUGUUAAAAUUAUGUAGAAGUACUCUCAAAAAAAAAAUUUAUUUAAUAAUAUAAGAAGAGUAAAAUGGUUAAUUUAAGCCAUUCAUUAAUUAAAAAUAAGCAUUUUACUUAUGGUUAAUUAUAUUUUUCUAACGAAUUCUAAUAAUAAAGAUAUAUUUAAAAAUAUUAGAAUUUUUGUAGAGGAGACGAGGAAACGAGGAAAUGGGCAACACUGUCUGUGUGUUGUGCGGAGGAGACGAGGAAACGGCCGACCAUUUAUUCACCCGGUCCAUUUAUUCACCCGGUGUGUAUUCGCUCGACUUAUGAGGAUGAUGACCCUAGAGGGUGAUUUUCCUACAGAUUGGGAUGAUGACGUGCUCUCCCUCUGGGAUAGUACCUUCGCUAGAAUGGGUGGACAAUCGCCGCGGUCUAAAUUUUUGCCCCCAUCAAGAGUGUACAAAUAGUAUUUUUCUUUCGGAAGUCGCUAGCUCCAAAAUCCAAACAUAAUCUUUUUCAUUUUAACUCGAGACCUUGGGACAUGAAAAUUACUAUAUAUUAUUCACAACAUUAUUUAAGUAUCAUUUUAAUUCAGCUUUUCAAUCUUUUAAAAUUGAGAAAUGAUUCGGUACUUUUUUAAAAAAAAAAUAAAAAAGAUCUUAACCGUUGAUUAAUAGAGGGUAAAAAUGUAACUUUAAUACUUAGCAGGUAAAAGGAUUAUUUUAUUCAAGGUUAGUUUGGUAAUUAAAUAAUACAAUAUUUAAAGAAACUUUUAAUUGAGGUCCUAAAUUUAUGCAUUAAUUAGCACUAAUUUAGGAAAUUAAUUGAUUAACCAAAUUUAUGCAAUUAUUAGGCAUUAAUUUAGGAAUCUACUUUAAAUGUUUUAGUGUUUCUCAAAUUAUGCAUUAAUUUAAAUUAUAGAAAUUUUAGAAAUAGUUUUAUUUCUAAAUACGAUGAAUUUAAAUUUUAAAAAUUAAAUACUUAAAAUUUAAAAGUGAAAUUUAAAUUAGAGGAAUUUCAUAUUACUAUUUAAAAACUAAAUUUCUACCAAGAUUUAAAAUACAGUUUAUUCGCACCAGUUUAAAACGUAAUGCAUAAAAAACUUAGAGAGUAAGAUUUCUACAACUAGAUUUCUCUAGAGGAAUUUCAUAUUACUAUUUAAAUUUUAAAUUCAAUGAUUUAAAAACUAGAUUGAACCGAUUGAUUUGACUGAUCAGACCUUGACAUAUUCUAUCAAGAAUCUGAUUUUAACUUAUUGAACCGAAACCGGUAAAGAUAAUAAAUAUUUUAAAUAUAAUUUUAAAUAUAUAAAUUAAAAAGAUUAGAAUUAUUGGUGAGAAAAAAAAUAGUUAGGAAUUUGAAUUCGAAUCUGACUAACAAUCACAAAACUUAUUUCCGAACUCGACGGAUUUCAAAAAUCCAUAUUCAAAUUCAAAACUGACCAAUUUUCCGAAACCUGAAACCAAACCUAAACCAGAAGACUAGAAUUCAAAUAAUUAUUUCUGUUUACCAUAUUUCAAAGUAUUUAUAUGAAACUUAAAUUUUUAAAAUAUAAAUUUGAAUAUAAUAUUAAAUUGAUUAAAUUUUAAAUUUAAAAGUGAAAUUUAAAUUAGAGGAAUUUCAUAUUACUAUUUAAAGUUUAAAUUCAAUGAUUAUAUUGUCAAAACAUUUGAAAUUUUCCUUAUAUGAAAUGCCAAAUUAUGAAAGGAAAGAUAGAGAGAGAAAAAGGAAACAAAGAAAAAAUAAAAAUUUUGAAAAUAAAGUAGAUGUAAAAUGACUAAAUUGCCUAUGUAUUAAAAGACAAAAAUAUUCUUUUUUGAGGUACCUGGUAACCGGUACCUCUCCCAAAGUGACCUGCUAUUGCAGGUCACAAUUUUAAAAAAACUAAAUCUGAGCCGUUGAAUACACGUGAAUGAACGGUAACAAAAAAAAAAAAAGUAUAGAAGCAUUACUCUUUAAAAUUUGGAUUAUACUAUCCAACCUUUAGAUUUGUUUAACUUGAACCAGUCAACCACACUUUAACUUCAAAAUGUGAAUGGUUGUUUAUAUUUACAGUUUUAAUUAGCAUCUUUUAAGCAAUUCUCGUAACUAUAAAUUCCAUAAACUAAGUUAUUAGCUUAAAUUUUAAAAUAAAAAAUAUUGUUGGCUGACUCAAAUCAAACAAAUUAAACGGUUGGAUAGUAAAUUCAAAAUUUUGAAAUAUUGGACAGUCGAUUCAAAAUGAUUUAUAAUUCAGAUAUAUUCUAUACGUUUUUACCUAUUAUUUUUUGUAAAUUUCAUGUAUUAUUUUUAAACUGCUUGUAGCCAUGCAUGAGCAAAUCAAAAUUUCAUACACCCGACGAAAUCCCAGCCAUGAUUUGUAGCUGGUAGGAAAGCGGCCAAAUCCGCCCCUCAAUUCCAUCCUCCAGUAUUUUUUGAAAGAAAAGCAGAAUAAUGUCUGCUUCAUUUAUUAUUUCUAAAAAACAAACUUAGCUGGCUUUGAAUUUGAAAUCUCGGGUACCAAGCAUCAAGCACUUUAUCUAGUUCAUCUUUUGAACUAGGAACGGUUGGUCAUCUUCCAGUACUUGACCCGACAGUGGUAAAGAAGAACUCCAAUAAAUAUGUAAAUCAAAGUGUAGCUUCUCCAAACCGACCAUUCCUAGAGCAAGUGGCAAAGGAUUUGGUGGUUGGUACCCGAGGUUCCAAAUUCGAAUCCUAAUUGAUUCACAUUUACAGCUAAGUUUAUUUCACCUAUCUCUUACAAAAAAAAAUGUAGCUCCUCCACAUUACAAAAAUAUAAGAGAAAUAAUACAUGGACAUCCCAAAGAACAGUGCAGACGUAAGCAUUUCUCAUUCUUAAACUCACAAAACUUUUUGAAUUUUUAAUAUUACAAAAAAAAAACUCAAAAUAUAAUGUGAAUACAGGUACACAGUAUAAACACAGUUACUGUUGAAAGGUUGCGGUUAGUACCCAAAAGUCUAGAAUCAUCUUCUAUGGUAUUUGUUGAAGGUCCUUAAUUUCUUUGGAAUUCUUGUCUUCAUUUCUAUUAAUGUUUAAUUUGAAAAUAUGAUUGACACGUGAUUUUUUCUAAAAAUAUUUUCCAUGAUACAAAACUUGUCUUUUUCGUACGUAGAAGGAUUGUUACUACUAUCUAAUAAUGGUUGGUCACAGGUGCAUAAUCCAAGUCAAACUGCUGAUACGGGUCAAUGCUUCCUCCUAUUUGUAUGUACAUAAAUAAAUUAUAGAUGAUUUUUCAUGAUGCAACCUUGCAGACGAGAGCAAAUCAACCACAAAUGGUGUGUUCGUCACAUCAGAGUGGUGCUUCUGUUUGAAACUAGAGUUCCGCCUCAAAUGAAAGAUGUCCAACAAAAAGAAAUUUUGAAACUUUAUUUUAACAGUUCAUUGUUUCUUAAAAAUACCUAAAUCGUGAUCUGAAUGGCCAAAGAGCACGCAAACUUUUUCAUAAUUUGCGUGCAGCAACCACCAGUUAAUUUAUGAGAUUUAAGUAAAUAAGGCGAGAAUGAAAUUGUUUAAUUAGCGGCCGUUUCAUUAUAUGUAAUUACAAAUACAGUGUAGUUAAAGAUGCAUAUAAUUAAAAAUACAGCAAUUGCAACUACAUGCAUUCUGUUUGGUAGGAUGUAGUAAAAAGUGCUGAAACUAUAAAUAAUUUGUUUGGUUGCAUGCAGUUGAAAAAAUUAAUUUUAAAAAUUUUAUUAUUUUAUAAUAUAAUGGUGAGAUUAUCUCAAAUGCAAAAAAGGAAAAAUAUUUUUUAUUUAAAAAAUAAUUAAGGAGGUAAGCAUAUAUUUUGUUUAGAGUUAUUCUCUCCAACUGCUGCAGCUGGAAUUGCGGCCAAUUUGAGCGUAUUUUAAACUAUUGCAAUUUGAAAUCCUCCUGCAGUUCCUACUAUAGCAGUUAGAAUUAAAUAUAUCAAAUCAAAUACUAAAUUUAUAUUUACAUUCAGUUAUAAUUGCAGUACAGUUAUAACUGCUUCUUACACCCUAAAUUCUGGAAUUCAUAAAUUUUUUUGAGUUUUUUGUUAUUAGAAGAUGAGAAUAUACAGAACUUAUAUGGACUAUAGAACAUUUUGAGUUCCUUAUCCAACCUUCCAAUUUUUUUAAUUUGAAUAGUUGACAACACCUUGACUUUAAAUUUUUUUUUCCUUCUUUGUAAUAAUUGCAGUUUUAUGUUUUCAUACUGAAUUUCUCACAAACAAACCCACAAAUACAUAAGAGCAAGAGGAAAUUAAAUACAUUCACAACACAGAGGUAAAAUAAAAGCUAUUUAGCACAACAUUUUAAACACCAUGAAGAGAACCAAACGAAGUUUAAAAAGGACCAAAUCCGAAUCCGAUAUAAAUCCAGAUAUUCUUUAGAGUAAUACUUUUAUGAGAUUUUAAUCACAUAAUUUAUCGAUGAUGAGGAGUUCUUGGUGACCCAAUAUUUUCGAGAGAAACUAUUCGAUUCUAGACAACAAAUAUACAUAGAUUCAGUUCCUGUUGGGAACAAUAAAUAUACAUGGAUCCAGGUUCAAGUUAGGAAUUUGUAUUUGUAUUUUCGACGGGUAUAGCUGAAAAAAGAUGGCUAAUUUUGAGCGGUUCAUGAACAACUGCAUUUACAGCACUCACCAUUUCCUUUGGAGAUGUAAAUCCAUCAGUGUUCAUGUAAAAUAGGUGAAGUAUUCUGCACAUCUUCCAAAAUAAGUCCUUGCAACUUCGAGGAAUUACAGUUCCCUCCUUCAGCACUAGCCUUAGCAAUUCUCUCCGAGAAGUUUCGACGGAUCUCUUUAUCUCCCUUUUAGCCUCUUCUAUAGAGGCGGAAGAGCCGCCAUGAAGAAGGCGGAGCGAGAUGCUGUUCAACUUUCCUUCUUUACCUUCUCUCUGCACCAAUUUAAAGUAAUUAGUGUCCAAAUGAUAAUAAUCAACAACAACAAGGAGCUUGAAGAGAAUGUGGGGGAACAAAAUUAAGGCUUUAUAAGGCAGGACCAAUAAAGUGGAAAAAUUCGUAAGUAAACUAUUAGGACGGUAACUCUCUUCCUCAAGUUGACUAAAUUCACUUAUUGCUUGUAUUACCUCGUAACCUUGCAGGUCGUUUAGAAGACGGCCGCAUGUGCUCACAAGUCUGAACAUUUCAUGGCAUUCUGGAUCUGCAACGGCCUCUUCCGAAAGCUUUGGACCAACAAAGUAGAGAGCCGGGAGAAUGAUGGGGCCCAAAGCAAAGGAAACAAAUCCAUUUUCCAUGUACUGCUCUAUCGUGGGUACCGUUUUGUUCCUCAGCCACUCUGCCUCGUUCAUCAUGGACCUCAUCAAGCUAAGCCACUGUCGUUUGCAUUGCUAUGUGUCAGAGUUUAAAUUGAAUGGUGCAUGUGCAAACUCGUAUUUUGCAGGAAUAUAUAGGCGAUUUUGCAGGGGCAUAUAUGUAAAUAUCUGAAUUCAGUAAGCUGUAAGAUCUCACUAUUUCAACUAAGUGGCCGGUAACACUACGAUUUUGUACUGCUGAUGCCUUAGCUCCAAGCUCAUUGAUUGUGCUGUAAAUAGCGGAAAAUACAAUCUCUACGUGCUCAGAGCAGAACUCUUUUUUGUGAUUUCCAUCCCAUCUGUCGCAAGUACAAAGGUGUGCUUAAAGAAAAUAAUGUGUAAAUUAAUCUCAGAAAAAUUGCGGAUCACAAAUAUGAGCAAGAAAAAUCGUACUUCUCAACUAAACUGAUGAGGUUUUUUAAUUCUUCUUGUGAUCCACCUAUGUCGAAGAAGUCAUCAACCACAGUGGUGAGCACACCAUUUUUAGCCCAUGAAAUGCGAGCAUCGGUUAAUUCGGGAGAAUAUAGAGUGGCAGCAGCAGAGAGGUAACAGUAUGUUAGCUUAUCCCGAGCAAAUCCUAGCUGAUCCAACCUGUUUUCUCUGACCCAGCUGUUAAGAUCACAAAUUUAGAUUAGGAAAGCACAUUGCUGGCGUUAGAUGUAAUAAAAAUAAGGAACUUGCUUUUGCAUGUGCACUCAACAAAAGCAUAUUUGUGAAGGAAAGUGAGUGGAAGGGCAUAUAGACACAUAUUGGAUAUUCAAUAGACAACGGCAACAAUUUCAACUUAAGAAGGGUCUGCGAGCAAACGUGUAUAUUUUGAGAGAUAUCUAUGCAACAAAAUAACCCUAAAAGGAGAAUCCAUAAGAUGGACAGACCUCUGAAGAUGCUGAAGUUCUUUCCGGUAUAUAGACUGACAACUACUGAAAUCUUCAACUGCCAAUUUAAGAAGAUCAUCAGAAGUGCAGAAAGACCUGAUUCAGUUCAGAAGCAGAAAUUACUGGCAGAAAUCCAAAAAUCAGAAAAAAAACGUUUUUAUCCUAUUUAUGAUUAAAUCCUUACUUAUAUGAUGUUUUGAGAAUCUGAUAAUUGGCAACAUCAAAGUGCUCAAUGUUUCUCUUGUGUUCUAAGCGUUCCAAAUUGGCGUAAAAGGGAAAUUUGAGAACAUAAUCUGCCUGAAAAUAUAAAAUAGAAUUAGUUUCAACUCUCAAUCAGACAACUAGAAUUCUUUUUCCCCAAAAAACAUAUUGAGACUAUCAAAUACCUCUUGGGAGAUAACUGGGGAAGAAUGUUUUGAAUUAGAAGAUAUUUCCUCCUUUAGUAAGCUACUGGACCAGGACCCUAAUUUAUCUAAGACUUGUUCACAGUCCGAGAUUUUAAUCUGCGAUGCCUUGUGAAAUUCUAGAACAGUUUUCAUAUCUUUCAGAUGUCCUUGCAGGGAAUUAUGGAAAUUGUGUGCUUCAGCAAAGCGAGAUAACCCAUCUGCACCAUCACCAGCAAUAGAUUAAAAACCCAUUGGCAUAACUAGAUACAUAACUAACCAAGAUUCGGAAAGUUAGUUCCUUCUGGGCCCAAACUACCUGAAGAAACAUCAAAUCCGUUCAUACGCAAAAGACGAAAUGCCAUAGCACAUGUGGCCAUAUCCGAACUAAGUUCCUCAUCGUUCUCCAACCAGCAUCUGCAUAAUAGCUGAUGGCAGUUUGUAAAAUCUUGAGAUAUUGCACAUAUCUCAACUUAAAAGCUAUUUUUGUAAGGAACUGCACUCUAAAUGGGUUGUAUAAAAAUUAAGAUUAUAAGUGGGGUACAUCUGUGUAAACAGAUGAUUUUGCAGAAAUACAUCUCUAUAUCUACAUGGUUGUAAUUCAUAUUUAGAAGCUAUUUCUAGCUCAAACCUGUAUAUUCUGUCCAAGAUGGUCCUGAUCUCAAAAGUAAACUGCCGAGAAAUUCCCAACUUUUCAAGAGUGUCAACCAUGCAAAGUUGCGUAUGUAUCUCAAACGGAUAAACAGUAGGAACUGUGGAAAGGCAAAUGAUAUUAGAAAUUCCAUAGCAUUUCCACAUUUGUGACAGACAAAUUUAUCAAUUAGCGAGUGAAGUCGAAUCCACCUGAGCUGCCAAACCGCCGUAAAACAGCAUGCAAGUAGUCAAGAGCUUUGACAUCAUAAAGAUGGGUCAAUGCAACAGCUGUUGUUGAAGGAGAAUUGAACAACGAUCCGUUCUUCCCCUGAUAUUUCAUAACCUCAUUCCAAUUUUGUACAUUUCUUAAUCCUUCGGAUACAUAUGCCAUGUACGCUUUUCUACCCUCAGAAAUGUUUGCAGAAUCUCUAAUACAUAAAUAUAUAAAUUACAACAUAAAUGCAACUUACAAGGAAAUCUGCAUAUCGACUGGAAUUGGUGAUAUAAGGUUAAAAAAAAUUACAUUGAAAUAACCAUCGCCUGACCUUUUCAAUUCUAAAUCUCGAAGGCAAAGAACAUCCUGAAUAGCACGCUGUCUUAUGGGAAUAUCUAAACCCAAAUCGAUGGCAAGUUUAAGCAUGCCAGGGAAAAUGAUAUUGAAGCCGACAGGAGACUGAUAAUUCUCAUCCAUAACACAUGACAAAUUAGAUCCAAUAUAACGUAGCCCUGCAAUAAGCCCCCCCCCCAAAAAAUGAAGCUUCUUAAUCCAUCAAGCAAAACGUAGUGCUAAUGAUGAGUAAAUGUUCUGUUUCUUAAUACCUCUUCUUAUAUGCUCUUCACCCGCAUUCCAUCGCCUGAGCGCAAGUACACAUGCCAAUGUGGAAGAUAGAGCAUCUUUCAUCAAAGAGGGAUGAAUAUGGUCGAGUCCCCAGGAUCCAUUAGAAUUUUGAUUUUGUAACAUCCAAUUGACACACUGAGGGAAGCAUGGGGUUUGAGGAGAUCCAGGAGAAGGAACCAUGGCUACCCAUGCCGUGUCAUACGAAGAAGCAGAAUAUUCGACCUUUCUUAGUCGCUCCCUUAUUCGUUUCUCCAAUUCCCUGGAACCCUACAGGCCGUUCCAAUAAAAUGCUUAAUUCAACCACCAAUUUAUCAUAUGGAGAUUAGGAAAUAGCAUGGGAUAAAUCUAAUACCAUUACUGAAAGGUUAGCGCUGCUUGCUACUUUCUCAUCAUCCAAAUAUGCUGUUUAAGAAAAUAAAGAAAUUGGCAAUCAGCAAAAGAGAAAUAAUUGUAAGACUGAAGAAAGUGAAAUAUGCAAAACACUCAGGUUUUAUUUGUCUUUUUGUAAUAAUUCCAACCUAGUUAGAAGUUGCAAUGAUAUAACUAGAUUUAAUACAUGCAACAAUUUGAAGACAAUCCCAUAUUUGGCAUUUAACAUACUUUUCUUCAGGGCCCUCACCGACCGUCCCUAGCGCAAGUGGCAAAGAGCUUGGUGGUUGGUACCCAAGGUCCCAAGUUCGAAUACUAGUUGAUUUACAUUUCUAGCCUAAUGAAAUAAACGAAGCAGGUAGCAUGCUACCUAUCUCUCAAAAAAAAAACACAUACUUUUCUUCAAAAAAAAGAUACACAUAACCUUAAUUACUUUA
rnacentral:lncRNA from 1 species